AGCAACAAACAUUUCCACCACAACAACCAUAUCCGCAGCCGCAACCAUUUCCAGGACAACAACCAUAUCCGCAGCCGCAACUAUUUCCACAGCCGCAACCUUUUCCGCCACAACUUCCAUAUCCGCAGCCGCAACCAUUUCCCCCACAACAACCAUAUCCACAACCGCAAACACAUCAUCUGCAACCACAACAACCAAUUUCGCAGCAACAAGUACAACAACAACAACAACAACAACAACAACAACAACAACAACAACAACAACAACAACAACAACAACAACAACUACUACUACAACAACAAAUCCUUCAACAAAUUCUGCAACAACAACAACUGAUUCCAUGCAGGGAUGUCAUCGUCUUGCAACAACACAACAUAGCGCAUGAAAGCUCACAAGUAUUGCAGCAAAGUAGUUACCAAGUGUUGCAACAAUUAUGUUGUCAGCAGCUGCGGCUGAUCCCCGAGCAGUCGCGGUGCCAAGCCAUCCACAAUGUCGUUCAUGCUAUUAUUCUACAUCAACAACAACAACAACAACAACAACAACAACAACAAGGACAACAUCAACCGUCGAGCCAGGUCUCCUACCAGCAGCCUCAGCAACAAUAUCCAUCAGGCCAGGGCUCCUUCCAGCCAUCUCAGCAAAAUCCACAGGCCCAGGGCUUUGUCCAACCUCAACAUCUGCCCCAACUCGAGGAAAUAAGUAACCUAGCGCUGCAGACGCUACCAGCAAUGUGCAAUGUCUACAUCCCUCCAUAUUGCUCGACCACCAUUGCGCCAUUUGGCAUCUUCGGUACUAACUGAGAAGAGAAGAACUCUAGUACUAGAUAUAUGAAACACCGUGUUCUUAGUCCAUGGUUUGGUCGUUGUACCGUUGAAAAUAUAAGGUGACAUGCACUAUCAUGUAAGAACCCGAACUAUACUAGUUCAAACAUGGGAAUAAAAGACAAACACAUGUCUUGUCUGCAUAUGAUUGUUUAUUUGAGUUCCAUUCCUAUGCCCAUUCACAAGUUCACCCGUAAUUAUAUAUAUUACACAUUAAGUAGAUAUUUAUGUUGCAUUAAUAUGAAGAUAACAAAAUGAGUCUGAAACUUGAAUUAAAUUGAAGUAUUUUCUUGGACUUUCAAAUUGUGUAUUAUUAAAGUAGUAAGGAUUAUCCACAUCCUUGGCUUGCCCUUCAUCAAUUAUUCCCAGAGAAGCUUUCAGUUCAUAAAUCAAUUACAUUGAUUUUUGUGAAUGGUACAUCUCCUCAUCACGAGUAUCAUUACGGCUACUCCAAAUCGCUCACAUAACCGAAGCAUUAAUAGCGCCCUUCUUGCAUCCGGAAAUAUGGAUCGAAGAUAUCACUUGACCAUGUUUCCAGGUGCAACCUUGGGAUUUUUAUGUCAAAAUAUUCUCAAGCAAAAUCCAAGAAUAAACUUGCAUGCUCACGUGUGAUGAGGGCAGAUGAAGUAACAUUUCCUCCCCAUGGCCACACAUAGGGCACACACAUAACCCCAUCACAUGCCUUUUUAGUUAUGCAUAUGAAAGGUAGGAUGUUUUUAAUUACUCUCUACCAAAAUACUCUUAACUUGGCUUGUACCCUAAUAUUUCGUUGCCUUUUCAAUUGUUCUUCCCCAUUAGACAAAGUAGACAGUCCAUCUACCACACCGUACCUUGUGUCCAUCAUUGCUCUGUACAACAAUUGAACAGAACAAAUGUCAUUUCUUUACGAUACCCACGACCAAAUGUCCUUUGCUGGAUUGUUUGGUCGUGGCAUAUUAAGGAUGGCCACCUCAUCUCAUGGGGUAAACACCUAAUGAAUGAAAGGAUUGUUCUAGUCGCCCGUGUUUUUCAUCGAUAAGAUCAUCUACAAGUUGGACCGAAGUUUCUCACAUGCAUCAUAGUGGUUUCAUUAGCGGCGUGCCCUGCACCCAUUUAUCACGUCGUAUCUCUGUAGUAUGUGCAUUCCCAAUUUGUCACAGCAUACCCUCCUUCAAACCUUCUUUCCCUUUCAGAUUAGCACGCCAAGUUAGCUAUGCACUAUGCGGGAACCAGCAUUUGAAAAAAAAGAAUCUCAUUUCAUGGUAUCUUCCAUGAAGGACCCUCGUACAUUAGCUAUCUAGGUAGAAAUAGCCAUGUAUGUUUGGCAAACUUUGCAUAAGUGAAUAGAUCAAGGUCGUGGAACCCCAAGCCUCCAAUUACACACGGCCUCUCUACCAAUAAGAUCUCCAAAGACAUCAAGGAUACAGACAGCCAAAAAAGAAAAUAAAAAGAAAAAAAAUAAAAAAUACCCUGCCAUGGUGAUCAAUCACAAGCAUCAGCAGCACUCUAACCACCACCAAAGACAAUGCCCAGAUUACAAAAAAAAAUUAUCCAAAAACAAUGCCCCCAAGAAGGAAACAAUACACAAGCGUUGUCGUUGCCCGAUCGAAGAUCGUGGGUUUUCACCCUGGAAAAUUUUUGAGUUCACCCAAAAACAAUGCCUUCAACAAGGCCAUUGCCAAGUACAACAAAUAUGGUCGAGACCUUGGGUUUUCACCCUAGGAAUUGAGACUCGAUGCUCGAGGAGUACCAGCAAAAAUGCAGUCCACUAGUGUUGCCGCCCCCACUUGGCAAGGCCACUGUUGCAAGUCACCAAACACCUGGCAUAUAGUUGUCAUCGCAUCCAAUACACCCUUCGGCCGAAGCUUCAAGACCUUGAUCCGUCUCCAGCGUAUCUAUAAUUUUUGAUUGUUCCAUGCUAUUAUAUUAUCUGUUUUGGAUGUUUUAUAUGAUUAUUAUGGUAUUUUAUAUGAUUUUUGGGACUAACCUAUUAAACUAGAGCCCAGUGUCAGUUCCUGUUUUUUCCUUGUUUUAGAGUUUCGUAGAAAAGGAGUACCAAACGGAGUCCAAACGGAAUUAAACUUUUGCGAUGAUUUUUCUUAGACCAGAAGACAUCUAGAGGACUUGGAGUGCAUGUUAGGAAAGCCACGAGGCUGCCACAACGACAGAGGUGCGCCCCCACCCUUGUGGGCCCCUCGUGACUCUACCGACAUAUUUCUUCCGCCUAUAUAUUCUCAAAUAUUCCAAAACAUACUAGGAGAGCCACAAAAACACUUUUCCACCGCCGCAACCUUCUGUACCCGUGAGAUCCAAUGUAGGGGCCUUUCCCGGCAUCCUGUCGGCGGGGGAUUCGAUCACUUAGGGCUUCUACAUCAACACCAUUGCCUCUCCGAUGAAGCGUGAGUAGUUUACCACAGACCUAUGGGUCCAUAGCUAGUAUCUAGAUGGCUUCUUCUCUCUCUUUGAUUCUCAAUACCAUGUUCUCCUCGAUGUUCUUGGAGAUCUAUUCGAUGUAAUACUCUUUUUGCGGUGUGUUUGCCAAGAUCCAAUGAAUUGUGGAUUUAUGAUCAGGUUAUCUAUGAGUAUUAUUUGAAUCUCCUAUGAAUUCUUAUAUGCAUGAUUUGAUAUCUUUGCAAGUCUCUUCGAACUAUCGAUUUGGUUUGGCCAACUAGAUUGGUUUUUCUUGCAAUGGGAGAAGUGCUUAACUUUGGGUUCAAUCUUGCGGUGCUCGAUCCCAGUGACAGAAGGGGAUGAUACGUCCCCAACGUAUCUAUAAUUUUUGAUUGUUCCAUGCUAUUAUAUUAUCAACCUUGGAUGUUUUAUAUGCAUUUAUAUGCUAUUUUAUAUGAUUUUUGGGACUAACCUAUUAACCCAGAGCCCAGUGCUAGUGCCAGUUUCUGUUUUUUCCUUGUUUUAGGGUUUCGAAGAAAAGGAAUAUCAAAUGGAGUCCAAACGGAAUGAAACCUUCAGAAAAUUUAUUUUUGGAAAGAAAGUAAUACGGGAGACUUGGAGUGCACGUCCGGGGAUCAACGAGGAAGCCACGAGGCAGGGGGCGCGCCCACCCCUCUUGGGCGCGCCCUCCACCCUCGUGGGCCCCUCGUGGCUCCCCAAAUGUAUUUCUUCCGCCUAUAUAUAUCCAUAUACCCCAAAACGACCGGGGAGCACAAUAGAUCGGGAGUUUCUCCGCCAGAAGCCUCCGUAGCCACCGAAAGCUAAUCUAGACCCGUUCCGGCACCCUGCCGGAGGGGGAAUCCCUCUCCGGUGGCCAUCUUCAUCAUCCCGGUGCUCUCGAUGACGAGGAGGGAGUAGUUCUCCCUCGGGGCUAAGGGUAUGUACCAGUAGCUAUGUGUUUGAUCUCUCUCUCUCUCUCUCUCUCUCUCUCUCGUGUUCUUGAGGUGAUACGAUCUUGAUGUAUCGCGAGCUUUGCUAUUAGAGUUGGAUCUUAUGUUGCUUCUCCCCCUCUACUCUCUUGUAAUGGAUUGAGUUUCCCCUUCGAAGUUAUCUUAUCGGAUUGAGUCUUUAAAAAUUUGAGAACACUUGAUGUAUGUCUUGCCGCGUGUAUCUGUGGUGACAAUGGGAUAUCACGUGAUUCACUUGAUGUAUGUUUUCGUGAUCAACUUGCGGGUUCCGCCCAUGAACCUAUGCAUAGGGGUUGGCACACGUUUUCGUCGUGAUUCUUUGGUAGAAACUUUGGUGCACUCUUUGAGGUUCUAUGUGUUGGUUGAAUAGAUGAACUUGAGAUUGUGUGAUCCAUAUCAUAUAAUCAUACCCACGGAUACUUCAGGUGACAAUGGAGUAUCUAGGUGACAUUAGGGUUUUGGUUGAUUUGUGUCUUAAGGUGUUAUUCUAGUACGAACUCUAGGGCUGUUUGUGACACUUAUAGGAAUAGCCCAACGGAUUGAUUGGAAAGAAUAACUUUGAGGUGGUUUCGUACCCUACCAUAAUCUCUUCGUUCGUUCUCUGCUAUUAGUGACUUUGGAGUGACUCUUUGUUGCAUGUUGAGGGAUAAUUAUGUGAUCCAAAUAUGUUAUUAUUGUCGAGAGAACUUGCACUAGUGAAAGUAUGAACCCUAGGCCUUGUUUCGACGCAUUGCAAUACCGUUUACGCUCACUUUUAUCAUUAGUUACCUUGCUGUUUUUAUAUUUUCAAAUUACAAAAACCUUUAUCUACCAUCCAUAUACCACUUGUAUCACCAUCUCUUCACCUAUACAAUUUACCAUUGUAUUGGGUGUGUUGGGGACACAAGAGACUCUUUGUUAUUUGGUUGCAGGGUUGCUUGAGAGAGACCAUCUUCAUCCUACGCCUCCUACGGAUUGAUAAACCUUAGGUCAUCCACUUGAGGGAAAUUUGCUACUGUCCUACAAACCUCUGUACUUGGAGGCCCAACAACGUCUACAAGAAGAAGGUUGUGUAGUAGACAUCAAGCUCUUUUCUGGCGCAGUUGCCGGGAAGGUGAGUGCUUGAAGUUAUAUCUUUAGAUCUUGCAAUCGAAUCUUUUUGUUUCUUGUUUUAGCACUAGUUUAGUUUAUAAAAGAAAACUACAAAAAAACGGAAUUGAGUUUACCUCACACGCUUCAUCUUUUUAAUAUCUUUCGUGAGUAUGAUGGAAAGAAAAAUUGUGCCAAAGUGUUAGAAGAAGAAUGCAUUAAACUGUUUGGCAUUAAAUAUUUGAAUGAUGAGCAUUAUUGCAAUGUUGUUAGUAUGAAUUCCUUGAAUAUCCAUAGUACUAAUGAUGAUUGCACUAGUUAUGAUGAAAAUGUCUCAUGUAAACAUGUCAAUUUUUGUGGAGUGCAUUGGGUUUGCAAGUACACACCAAUUAGGGAAGAUAGAUUUUGCAAGAGGCAUAAGUACUUAGAAACUAAAUUGUUGCAAGAAAGGCUAGAUGAAUGUGCUGAAAAUUUAAAUUUUCUUGGCCAUACUUGUGAGCUUUGCAAUGAACAUGGUUAUUUAACCAUCCGAUGCAAAUUGUUUCAUGAUCUAAUCGUUUCCAAAAAUUGUGAUGACUUGAUUUCCCUUGCACAUCAUAAUGAACUUAGUUUGCUUAUGGGUUAUGAGGAAAUGAAAUGUAUAACUAACUAUCUUCCAGUAUUUUCCCAUGAUAAACUUCUUGGAUUUGACCUAGAGGAAAUUUAUAUGUAUUGUGCGGUGAAUUGCAUUGAAAACCCCUAUAUUGUCAAUUACAUAAAGAAAAGAAAACAAAUAGAGGAUGAACAGAAUACUAAUGAAAGGGAAGAGACCUCCCAAUAUCCUCCUAUUAUUUCUUAUGAUGAACCAGGUAACGAGGAGGAGCCUCCUAUUCAACCAAUCUCAUUAAUAAGGAGCUCCAAAAAGAGGAUUGAACCCACACACGAUGUAGUGAAGAAGAAGAAAAGAAAGAGGAAGAGAGGUAAAAAGAUAUCUCUCCCAAAUAAUGCUGCUCCUAUUACUAUUGUGCCUCAUGAAAAUAUAAUUGUGGAAAAUAAUGAUACUUCUUAUGAUCUUGAAAAUCCUUUUGUCACUUGCUUGGAAGAAUAUGAUAAUUGCUAUACUAUUGGUGCUAUCCAUACUAUUAAUGAUGAGAGUGAUUAUGCUUAUGAUAUGAAAAGGCCCAAGCUUUGGGAUGCUAUGUUUGAUGAAGAUGAUGUUUUUGAGAAUAUAUUUGCUACAAUUAAUGUUUGUCCCAAGCUUGGGGAUGCUAUGUUUAAUCAAGAUGAUAUUUUUAGUCUCCCAAGUUUUGAUAUGCAAAUUUAUAAUGAUGAUAGCAUGCCUCCUACUUAUGAUGAUUAUUGUGAUGAUACUUAUGCUAUAAAAAGUAAUGAUUAUAUUUAUAAAACUUGUCAUGAUUAUGGUUACCCCUUUUCUGAACAUUACUCUUUUAAUGUGGAAACAAUUUAUAGUAUUCGAGUUUCUUAUGAUACUCCCACUAUUCCGAAUGAGAAGAAUUUUGCUUGUGUAGAGAGUAAUAAAAUUUCUAUGCUUGUAGAUCAUGAAAAGAAUGCUUUAGGUGCUGGUUAUAUUUUUGAAUUCAUUCAUGAUGCUACUGAAAAUUAUUAUGAGGGAGGAACAUAUGCUUGUAGGAAUUGCAAUAAUAUCAAGUUUCCUCUCUAUGUGCUUAAAGUUUUGAAGUUAUGCUUGUUUUGCCCUCCUAUGCUAGUUGAUUAUUGUUCCCAUAAGUUGUUUGCUCACAAAAUUCCUACACAUAGGAAGUGGGUUAGACUUACAUGUUCUAGUCAUAUGCUUCAUGAUGCUCUCUUUAUGUUUCAAUUCUUAUCUUUUAUGUGAGCAUCAUUGAAAUCGUCAUGCCUAGCUAGGGGCGUUAAACGAUAGCGCUUGUUGAGAGGAAACCCAACUUUAUUUUUGUUCCUUGAUUUUUGCUCCUGUCUAGCAAUAAAUAAUUUAUCUAGCAUCUGUUAUGAUUGAGUUUUUAUGUUAGAACCGUUGGGAAGACUUGGGGAAAGUCUUGGCGAUCAUGCUGUAAAAAAACAGAAACUUUAGCGCUCACGAGAAUUGCUGACAUUUUUUAUUGGAGAGUGCUAUUUGGUUAAUUAUUUUUGCAGAUGAUUAAUAGAUAAAUUCCUCACGUCCAGCAAUUUAUUUUAGAAUUUUUGAGGCUCCAGAAGUUUGCGUUAGUUACAGAUUACUACAGACUGUUCUGUUUUUGACAGAUUCUGUUUUUCGUGUGUUGUUUGCUUAUUUUGAUGAAUCUAUGGCUAGUAAAAUAGUUUAUAAACCAUAGAGAAGUUUUAAUACAGUAGGUUUAACACCAAUAUAAAUAAAUAAUGAGUUCAUUACAGUACCUUUAAGUGGUGUUUUAUUUUCUUUCGCUAACGGAGCUCACGAGUUUUCCAUUUUAAGUUUUGUGUUGUGAAGUUUUCAAGUUUUGGGUAAAGAUUUGAUGGAUUAUGGAAUAAGGAGUGGCAAGAGAAUAAGCUUGGGGAUGCCGAAGGCACCCCAAGGUAAUAUUCAAGGACAACCAAAAGCCUAAGCUUGGGGAUGCCCCGGAAGGCAUCCCCUCUUUCGUCUUCGUUCAUCGGUAACUUUACUUGGAGCUAUAUUUUUAUUCACCACAUGUUACGUGUUUUGCUUGGAGCGUCAUUUUAUUUCAUUUUUUUGCUUGCUGUUUGAAUAAAGUAUCAAGAUAUGAAAUUAUUAAGUGGGAGAGUCUUCACAUAGUUGCAUAAGUAUUCGACUACUCAUUGAUCUUCACUUACAUCUUUCAGAGUAGUUUGUCAUUUUCUCUAGUGCUUCACUUAUAUCUUUUGAGAGCACGGUGGUGGUUUUAUUUUGUAGAAAUAGAUGAACUCUCGUGCUUCACUAAUAUUAUUUUGAGAGUCCUCAGAACAGCAUGGUAAUUUGCUUUGGUUAUGAAUUUAGUCCUAAUAAGAUGGGCAUCCAAGAGGGAUAUAAUAAAAACUUUCAUAUAAGUGCAUUGAAUACUAAGAGAAGUUUGAUACUUGAUGAUUGUUUUGAGAUAUGGAGAUAGUGAUAUUAAAGUUGUGCUAUUUGACACUACUAGGAAAAGGCCUACUAAUGGCGCACCAGUUUUGCCUACUAAUGGCGCAUCACUGGUGCGCCAUUACUAGCACGCCAUUAGUAAUUUUUAGUAAUGGCGCACCACUGGUGCGCCAUUAGUAUCGGCCACGGUGCGCCAUUCGUAUAGGCCACUGGUGCGCCAUUAGUAUAGGCCACGGUGCGCCAUUAGUAUUUUUGGAUUUUGAAGGCGGGAAAAUAGUAGUGGCGCACCGUCUAACCCCCACCGUGCGCCAUUACUAUUUUUGAAUUUUGAAUUUGGAUCUGGAUCGUGAUUUUUUUGCCCAUUUUUUGCUCGUUUUUUUGCUCGUUUUUUGGCACAAUAUUAUUUCAAAUUUUGUUCUUGUUUUUGGAUCUUGUACGUUCUUUUGCCGUGUUCUUUUGCCGGAGAGGAGUUCGCCGGAGAGGAGGAGGAGGAGGUCACCGGAGAGGCGCUCGCCUACAUCGCCGGAGAGGAGGAGGAGGUCGCCGGAGAGGAGUUCACCGAAGCAUCGGAGAGGAGGAAGGAGAAACCAUGAGGGAAUGGGAGGAGAGGAGGGAGGAGAAACCAUGAGGGGAGGGGAGGAGAGGAGGGAGNNNNNNNNNNNNNNNNNNNNNNNNNNNNNNNNNNNNNNNNNNNNNNNNNNNNNNNNNNNNNNNNNNNNNNNNNNNNNNNNNNNNNNNNNNNNNNNNNNNNNNNNNNNNNNNNNNNNNNNNNNNNNNNNNNNNNNNNNNNNNNNNNNNNNNNNNNNNNNNNNNNNNNNNNNNNNNNNNNNNNNNNNNNNNNNNNNNNNNNNNNNNNNNNNNNNNNNNNNNNNNNNNNNNNNNNNNNNNNNNNNNNNNNNNNNNNNNNNNNNNNNNNGGAGAGGAGAAGGAGGUCGCCGGAGAGGAGGAGAUGGAGUGGAGGAGAGGAGGAGAUGGAGUGGAGGAGAGGAGAGGAGGAGAUGGAAUGGAGGAGAGGUGGAGUGGAGGAGGUGCGCCCAGCCAUGUAUACGACAUAGUAAUGGCGCACCGUGGGCAGGUGCGCCAUUACUAACUUUUUUUAUUUUUUGAUUUAUUUUGAAUUUUGAAGGCGGGAAGAUACUAAUGGCGCACCGUGGGCAGGUGCGCCAUUAGUAACUUUUUUUUUAUUUUUGACUAAUUUUGAAUUUUGAAGGCGGGAAGAUACUAAUGGCGCACCGUGGGCAGGUGCGCCAUUAGUAACUUUUUUUGACUAAUUUUGAAUUUUGAAGGUGGGAAGAUACUAAUGGCGCACCACGGGGUGGUGCGCCAUUAGUAACUUUUUUUUAUUUUGUUGACUUAUUUUGAAUUUUGAAGGCGGGAAGAUACUAAUGGCGCACCAUGGGCAGGUGCGCCAUUAGUAAGUUUGAAUUAUUUUUAAUUUUUUUGCCUCUCCAGAUCUUAAAAGCCCCAUAUAUUUUUUUCUGUUAGGUUUUUGAGGAUUUUAAAAAUGUUUAACGGAUUCCCCGGUUAAAUUUGGAUGUAACUUUUCGAGUAGAUGAUUUUUCAUAUAAAAAACUUUUUCAUCCGAGUUAGUAUGCAAAAGUUAUGCCCAUUUUUACAAAUUNNNNNNNNNNNNNNNNNNNNNNNNNNNNNNNNNNNNNNNNNNNNNNNNNNNNNNNNNNNNNNNNNNNNNNNNNNNNNNNNNNNNNNNNNNNNNNNNNNNNNNNNNNNNNNNNNNNNNNNNNNNNNNNNNNNNNNNNNNNNNNNNNNNNNNNNNNNNNNNNNNNNNNNNNNNNNNNNNNNNNNNNNNNNNNNNNNNNNNNNNNNNNNNNNNNNNNNNNNNNNNNNNNNNNNNNNNNNNNNNNNNNNNNNNNNNNNNNNNNNNNNNNNNNNNNNNNNNNNNNNNNNNNNNNNNNNNNNNNNNNNNNNNNNNNNNNNNNNNNNNNNNNNNNNNNNNNNNNNNNNNNNNNNNNNNNNNNNNNNNNNNNNNNNNNNNNNNNNNNNNNNNNNNNNNNNNNNNNNNNNNNNNNNNNNNNNNNNNNNNNNNNNNNNNNNNNNNNNNNNNNNNNNNNNNNNNNNNNNNNNNNNNNNNNNNNNNNNNNNNNNNNNNNNNNNNNNNNNNNNNNNNNNNNNNNNNNNNNNNNNNNNNNNNNNNNNNNNNNNNNNNNNNNNNNNNNNNNNNNNNNNNNNNNNNNNNNNNNNNNNNNNNNNNNNNNNNNNNNNNNNNNNNNNNNNNNNNNNNNNNNNNNNNNNNNNNNNNNNNNNNNNNNNNNNNNNNNNNNNNNNNNNNNNNNNNNNNNAAUUUUUUUACUAAUGGCGCACCGUGGAUGUGGUGCGCCAUUACUAGUUCAACUAGUAAUGGCGCACCACCCCCACGGUGCGCCAUUAGUAGUUUUGAAAAAAAUUAAAUUUUUUUACCAAUGGCGCACCGUGGAUGUGGUGCGCCAUUAGUAUUUGGACACUAAUGGCGUACCAACACAUGGUGCGCCAUUAGUAUAUAGUAAUGGCGCACCACAUGUCUGGUGCGCCAUUAGUGUCAAUUCCAUCUAUAGCCCUUUUCCUAGUAGUGUGAGUAGUUGUGAAUUUGAGAAAUACUUGUGUUGAAGUUUGCAAGUCCCGUAGCAUGCACGUAUGGUAAACGUUAUGUAACAAAUUUGAAACAUGAGGUGUUCUUUGAUUGUCCUCCUUAUGAAUGGCGGUCGGGGACGAGCGAUGGUCUUUUCCUACCAAUCUAUCCCCCUAGGAGCAUGCGUGUAGUGCUUGGUUUUUGAUGACUUGUAGAUUUUUGCAAUAAGUAUAUGAGUUCUUUAUGACUAAUAUUGAGUCCAUGGAUUAUAUGCAUUCUCACCCUUCCAUCAUUGCUAGCCUCUUCGGUACCGUGCAUUGCCCUUUCUCACAUUGAGAGUUGGUGCAAACUUCGCUGGUGCAUCCAAACCCCGUGAUAUGAUACACUCUUUCACACAUAAACCUCCUUAUAUCUUCCUCAAAACAGCCACCAUACCUACCUAUUAUGGCAUUUCCGUAGCCAUUCUGAGAUAUAUUGCCAUGCAACUUUCCACCAUUCUGUUUGUCAUGACACAUUCAUCAUUGUCAUAUUGCUUAGCAUGAUCAUGUAGUUGACAUAGUAUUUGUGGCAAAGCCACCGUUCAUAAUUAUUUCAUACAUGUCACUCUUGGUUCAUUGCAUAUCCCGGUACACCGCCGGAGGCAUUCAUAUAGAGUCAUAUCUUGUUCUAGUAUCGAGUUGUAAAUAAAUAGAAGUGUGAUGAUCAUCAUUAAUAGAGCAUUGUCCCAAAAAAAGGAAGAGAACGACCAAAUAAAAAAGGGAAGCCCCCCACCCAAAAAAGAAAAGAAAGGCCAGAUAAAAAAUAAAAAAAAUAAAAAAAAUAAAAGGGACAAUGCUACUAUCCUUUUUCCACACUUGUGCUUCAAAGUAGCACCAUGAUCUUUAUGAUAGAGAGUCUCUUGUUUUGUCACUUUCAUAUACUAGUGGGAAUUUUUUAUUAUAGAACUUGGCUUGUAUAUUCCAACAAUGGGCCUCCUCAAGUGCCCUAGGUCUUUGUGAGCAAGCAAGUUGGAUGCACACCCACUUAGUUUCUUUUGUUGAGCUUUCAUACAUUUAUGGCUCUAGUGCAUCCGUUGCAUGGCAAUCCCUAAUCCUUGCAUUGACAUCAAUUGAUGGGCAUCUCCCUAGCCCAUUGAUUAGCCGCGUCGAUGUGAGACUUUCGCCUUUUGGUCUUCUCCACAUAACCCCCUCAUUAUAUUCUAUUCCACCCAUAGUGCUAUAUCCAUGGCUCACGCUCAUGUAUUGCGUGAAAGUUGAAAAAAGUUUGAGAUUACUAAAGUAUGAAACAAUUACUUGGCUUGUCAUCGGGGUUGUGCACAAUGAGAGCAUUCUUGUGUGACGAAAAUGGAGCAUGGCCAAACUAUAUGAUUUUGUAGGGAUGAACUUUCUUUGGCCAUGUUAUUUUGAGAAGACAUGAUUGCUUAGUUAGUAUACUUGAAGUAUUAUUAUUUUUAUGUCACUAUUAAACUUUUGUCUUGAAUCUUAUGGAUCUGAAUAUUCUUGCCACAAUAAAGAGAACUACAUGGAUAAAUAUGUUAGGUGGCAUUCUACAUCAAAAAUUCUGUUUUUAUCUUUUAGCUACUCCAGGACGAGCAGGAAUUAAGCUUGGGGAUGCUGAUACGCCUCCAACGUAUCUAUAAUUUUUAUUGUUCCAUGCUAUUAUAUUAUCAACCUUGGAUGUUUUAUAUGCAUCUUUAUGCUAUUUUAUAUCAUUUUUGGGACUAACCUAUUAACCUAGAGCCCAGUGCCAGUUUCUGUUUUUUCCUUGUUCUAGGGUUUCGAAGAAAAGGAAUAUCAAAUGGAGUCCAAACGGAAUGAAACCUUCGGAAAAGUUGUUUUUGGAAAGAAAGCAAUACAGGAGACUUGGAGUGCACGUCAGCGGAUCAACGAGGAAGCCACGAGGCAGGGGGCGCGCCCACCCCCUGGGCGCGCCCUCCACCCUCGUAGGCCCCUCGUGGCUCCCCUAAUGUAUUUCUUCCGCCUGUAUGUACCAAUAUACCCUAAAACGAUCGGGGAGCACAAUAGAUUGGGAGUUCCGCCGCCAGAAGCCUCUGUAGCCACUAAAAGUGAAUCUAGACCCGUUCCGGCACCCUGCCGGAGGGUGAAUCCCUCUCCGGUGGCCAUCUUCAUCAUCCCGGUGCUCUCCAUGACGAGGAGGGAGUAGUUCUCCCUUGGGGCUGAGGGUAUGUACCAGUAGCUAUGUGUUUAAUCUCUCUCUCUCUCUCUCUCGUGUUCUUGAGGUGAUACGAUCUUGAUGUAUCGCGAGCUUUGCUAUUAUAGUUGUAUCUUAUGUUUCUUCUCCUCCUCUACUCUCUUGUAAUGGAUUGAGUUUCCCCUUCGAAGUUAUCUUAUCGGAUUGAGUCUUUAAAGAUUUGAGAACACUUGAUGUAUGUCUUGCCGCGUGUAUCUGUGGUGACAAUGGGAUAUCACGUGAUUCACUUGAUGUAUGUUUUCGUGAUCAACUUGCGGGUUCCGCCCAUGAACCUAUGCAUAGGGGUUGGCACACGUUUUCGUCGUGAUUCUUUGGUAGAAACUUUGGUGCACUCUUUGAGGUUCUAUGUGUUGGUUGAAUAGAUGAACUUGAGAUUGUGUGAUGCAUAUCGUAUAAUCAUACCCACAGAUACUUGAGGUGACAAUGGUUUGCUCACAAAAUCCCUAUGCAUAGGAAGUGGGUUAGACUUAAAUGUUCUAGUCAUAUGCUUCAUGAUGCUCUCUUUAUGUUUCAGUUCUUAUCUUUUAUGUGAGCAUCAUUGAAAUCAUCAUGCCUAGCUAGGGGCGUUAAACGAUAGCGCUUGUUGGGAGGAAACCCAACUUUAUUCUUGUUCCUUGCUUUUUGCUCCUGUUUAGCAAUAAAUAACUUAUCUAGCCUCUGUUAUGAUUGAGUUUUUAUGUUUUAAUUAGUGUUUGUGCCAAGUAGAACCGUUGGGAAGACUUGGGGAAAGUCUUUGCGAUCAUACUGUAAAAAACAGAAACUUCAGCGCUCACGAGAAUUGAUGGGCAUCUCCUUAACCCAUUGAUUAGCCGCGUCGAUGUGAGACUUUCUCCUUUUUGUCUUCUCCACAUAACCCCCUCAUUAUAUUCUAUUCCACCCAUAGUGCUAUAUCCAUGGCUCACGCUCAUGUAUUGCGUGAAAGUUGAAAAAAGUUUGAGAUUACUAAAGUAUGAAACAAUUGUUUGGCUUGUCAUCGGGGUUGUGCAUGAUGAGAGCAUUCUUGUGUGACGAAAAUGGAGCAUGACCAAACUAUAUGAUUUUGUAGGGAUGAACUUUCUUUGGCCAUGUUAUUUUGAGAAGACAUGAUUGCUUAGUUAGUAUGCUUGAAGUAUUAUUAUUUUUAUGUCAAUAUUAAACUUUUUUCUUGAAUCUUAUGUAUUUGAAUAUUCUUGCCGGAAUAAAGAGAACUACAUGGAUAAAUAUGUUAGGUAGCAUUCCACAUCAAAAAUUCGGUUUCAUUAGCGGCGUGCCCUGCACCCAUUUAUCACGUCGUAUCUCUGUAGUAUGCGCAUUCCCAAUUUGUCACGGCAUACCCUCCUUCAAACCUUCUUGCCCUUUCAGAUUAGCACGCCAAGCUAGCUAUGCACUAUGCGGGAACCUGCAUUUGAAAAAAAAGAAUCUCAUUUCAUGGUAUCUUCCAUGAAGGACCCUCGUACAUGAGCUAUCUAGAUAGAAAUAGCCAUGUAUGUUUAGCAAACUUUGCAUAAGUGAAUAGAUCAAGGUCGUGGAACCCCAAGCCUCCAAUUACACACGGCCUCUCUACCAAUAAGAUCUCCAAAGACAUCAAGGAUACAGACAGCCAAAAAAGAAAAUAAAAAGGAAAAAAAUAAAAAAUACCCCACCAUGGUGAUCAAUCACAAGCAUCAGCAGCACUCUAACCACCACCUAAGACAACGCCCAGAUUACAAAAAAAAUUCUCCAAAAGCAAUGCCCCCAAGAAGGAAACAAUACACAAGCGUUGUCGUUGCCCGAUCGAAGAUCGUGGGUUUUCACACUGGAAAAUUUUUGAGUUCACCCAAAAACAAUGCCUUCAACAAGGCCAUUGCCAAGUACAACAAAUAUGGCUGAGACCUUGGGUUUUCACCCUAGGAAUUGAGAGUCGAUGCUCGAGGAGUACCACCAAAAAUGCAGUCCACUAGUGUUGCCGCCCCCACUUGGCGAGGCCGCUGUUGCAAGUCACCAAACACCUGGCAUAUAGUUGUCAUCGCAUCCAAUACACCCUUCGGCCGAAGCUUCAAGACCUUGAUCCGUCUCCAACGUAUCUAUAAUUUUUGAUUGUUCCAUGCUAUUAUAUUAUCUGUUUUGGAUGUUUUAUAUGAGUAGGGCGUUUUGGUGCCCAGGCUCAUCUGCACCCGGUUAGAAAAAAUUCAUAAAAAAUUUAAACAAAUUCAAAAAAUUCCAAAUAAAAUUUGUAUGGUAGACAAUUUGAUGCGUGAGGCCCGCCUCAAAUUUCAAGUCAUUUGGAUAUAUGAGAAGCUCUCAGCAAAAAAGACAAAUCGGACUAAAACAGUACAUGAACAGUAAACAUUUUUACAGACCCUCAAUUUGUCUUUUUUGCUGAGAGCUGCUCAUAUGUUCAAAUGACUUGAAAUUUGGAGCGUGCCUCACGCAUCAAAAUUUCUAUCACACAAAUUUUAUUUGGAAUUUUUCGAAUUUUUCUAGUAUUUGUUUUGAUUUUUUUCGUCGGCACAGGUGCAGAUGAGCUCAGGUGCAGAAAUGGAUUUUCGGUUUUAUUUGCACUAUUAUGCUAUUUUAUAUGAUUUUUGCGACUAACCUAUUAAACUAGAGCCCAGUGCCAGUUCCUGUUUUUUCCUUGUUUUAGAGUUUCACAGAAAAGGAAUACCAAACGGAGUCCAAACGGAAUGAAACUUUUGCGAUGAUGUUUCUUAGACCAGAAGACAUCUAGAGGACUUGGAGUGCACGUUAGGAAAGCCAUGAGGUGGCCACAAUGACGGAGGGCACGCCCCCACCCUUGUGGGCUCCUCGUGACUCUACCGACCUAUUUCGUCCGCAUAUAUAUUCUCAAAUAUUCCAAAACCUACUAGGAGAGCCACAAAAAAACUUUUCCACCGUCGCAACCUUCUGUACCCAUGAGUUCCCAUCUAGGGGCCUUUUCCGGCAUCCCGUCGGAGGGGGAUUCGAUCACGGAGGGCUUCUACAUCAACACCAUUGCCUCUCCGAUGAAGCGUGAGUAGUUUACCACAGACCUAUGAGUCCAUAGCUAGUAUCUAAACGGCUUCUUCUCUCUCUUUGAUUCUCAAUACCAUGUUCUCUUCGAUGUUCUUGGAGAUCUAUUCGUUGUAAUACUCUUUUUGCGGUGUGUUUGCCGAGAUCCGGUGAAUUGUGGAUAUAUGAUCAGGUUAUCUAUGAAUAUUAUUUGAAUCUCCUAUGAAUUCUUAUAUGCAUGAUUUGAUAUAUUUGCAAGUCUCUUCGAACUAUCGAUUUGGUUUGGCCAACUAGAUUGGUUUUUCUUGCAAUGGGAGAAGUGCUUAACUUUGGGUUCAAUCUUGCGGUGCUCGAUCCCAGUGACAGAAGGGGAUGAUACGUCUCCAACGUAUCUAUAAUUUUUGAUUGUUCCAUGCUAUUAUAUUAUCAACCUUGGAUGUUUUAUAUGCAUUUAUAUGCUAUUUUAUAUGAUUUUUGGGACUAACCUAUUAACCUAGAGCCCAGUGCCAGUGCCAGUUUCUGUUUUUUCCUUGUUUUAGGGUUUCAAAGAAAAGGAAUAUCAAACAGAGUCCAAACGGAAUGAAACCUUCGGAAAAGUUAUUUUUGGAAAGAAAGCAAUACGAGAGACUUGGAGUGCACGUCAGGGGAUCAACGAGGAAGCCACGAGGCAGGGGCACGCCCUCCACCCUCGUGGCUCCCCUAAUGUAUUUCUUCCGCCUAUAUAUAUCCAUAUACCCUAAAAUGAUCGGGGAGCACAAUAGAUCGGGAGUUCCGCCACCAGAAGCCUCCGUAGCCACCGAAAGCCAAUCUAGACCCGUUCCGGCACCCUGCCGGAGGAGGAAUCCCUCUUCGGUGUCCAUCUUCAUCAUCCCGGUGCUCUCCAUGACGAGGAGGGAGUAGUUCUCCCUCAGGGCUGAGGGUAUGUACCAGUAGCUAUGUGUUUGAUCUCUCUCUCUCUCUCUCUCUCUCUCUCUCGUGUUCUUGAGGUGAUACGAUCUUGAUGUAUCGCGAGCUUUGCUAUUAGAGUUGGAUCUUAUGUUUCUUCUCCCCCUCUACUCUCUUGUAAUGGAUUGAGUUUCCCCUUCGAAGUUAUCUUAUCGGAUUGAGUCUUUAAAGAUUUGAGAACACAUGAUGUAUGUCUUGCCGUGCGUAUCUGUGGUGACAAUGGGAUAUCACGUGAUUCAUUUGAUGUAUGUUUUGGUGAUCAAGUUGCGGGUUCCACCCAUGAACCUAUGCAUAGGGGUUGGCACACAUUUUCGUCAUGAUUCUCCGGCAGAAACUUUGGGGCACUCUUUGAGGUUCUAUGUGUUGGUUGAAUAGAUGAAUCUGAGAUUGUGUGAUGCAUAUCGGAUAAUCAUACCCACGGAUACUUGAGGUGACAAUGGAGUAUCUAGGUGACAUUAGGGUUUUGGUUGAUUUGUGUCUUAAGGUGUUAUUCUAGUACGAACUCUAGGGCUGUUUGUGACACUUAUAGGAAUAGCCCAAUGGAUUGAUUGGAAAGAAUAACUUGGAGGUGGUUUCGUACCCUACCAUAAUCUCUUCGUUCGUUCUCCGCUAUUAGUGACUUUGGAGUGAUUCUUUGUUGCAUGUUGAGGGAUAGUUAUGUGAUCCAAUUAUGUUAUUAUUGUUGAGAGAACUUGCACUAGUGAAAGUAUGAACCCUAGGUCUUGUUUCAACGCAUUGCAAUACCGUUUACGCUCACUUUUAUCAUUAGUUACCUUGCUGUUUUUAUAUUUUCAGAUUACAAAAACCUUUAUCUACCAUCCAUAUACCACUUGUAUCACCAUCUCUUCGCCGAACUAGUGCACCGAUACAAUUUACCAUUGUAUUGGGUGUGUUGGGGACACAAGAGACUCUUUGUUAUUUGGUUGCAGGGUUGGUUGAGAGAGACCAUCUUCAUCCUACGCCUCCUACAGAUUGAUAAACCUUGGGUCAUCCACUUGAGGAAAAUUUGCUACUGUCCUACAAACCUUUGCACUUGGAGGCCCAACAACGUCUACAAGAAGAAGGUUGUGUAGUAGACAUCAGGGGAACCGACACAUAUUGUAGUGUUUCCAUCGAGGAUAACAAGAUGGGGUUUUCGUCAUAUUGCUUGAGUUUAUCCCGCUACAUCAAGUCAUCUUACUUAAUGCGUUAUCCUGUUCUUAUGAACUUAGUACUCUAGGUGCAGGCAGGAGUCAGUGGACGUGUGGAGUAAUAGUAGUAGAUGCAAGCAGGAGUCCGUCUACUUGAUACAAACAUGAUGCUUAUGUUCAUGAUCAUUGCCUUAGAUAUCGUCAUAAGUUUGCACUUUUCUAUCAAUUGCUCAGCAGUAAUUUGUUCACCCACCGUAAGAUUUUCUAUCUUGAGAGAAGCCUCUAGUGAAACCUAUGGCCCCGGGGUCUACUUUCCAUCAUAUAAGUUUCUGAUCUACAAUUGUGUUGGUUGAAUAGAUGAAUCUGAGAUUGUGUGAUGCAUAUCGUAUAAUCAUACCCACGGAUACUUGAGGUGACAAUGGAGUACCUAGGUGACAUUAGUGUUUUGGUUGAUUUGUGUCUUAAGGUGUUAUUCUAGUACGAACUCUAGGGCUGUUUGUGACACUUAUAGGAAUAGCCCAACGGAUUGAUUGGAAAGAAUAACUUUGAGGUGGUUUCGUACCCUACCAUAAUCUCUUCGUUCGUUCUCCGCUAUUAAUGACUUUGGAGUGACUCUUUGUUGCAUGUUGAGGGAUAGUUAUGUGAUCCAAUUAUGUUAUUAUUGUUGAGAGAACUUGCACUAGUGAAAGUAUGAACCCUAGGCCUUGUUUCAACGCAUUACAAUACCGUUUACGCUCAGUUUUAUCAUUAGUUACCUUGCUGUUUUUAUAUUUUCAGAUUACAAAAACCUUUAUCUACCAUCCAUAUACCACUUGUAUCACCAUCUCUUCGCUGAACUAGUGCACCUAUACAAUUUACCAUUGUAUUGGGUGUGUUGGGGACACAAGAGACUCUUUGUUAUUUGGUUGCAGGGUUGCUUGAGAGAGACCAUCUUCAUCCUACACCUCCUACGGAUUGAUAAACCUUAGGUCAUCCACUUGAGGGAAAUUUGCUACUGUCCUACAAACCUCUGCACUUGGAGGCCCAACAACGUCUACAAGAAGAAGGUUGUGUAGUAGACAUCAGGGGAACCGACACAUAUUGUAUUGUUUCCAUCGAGGAUAACAAGAUGGGGUUUUCGUCAUAUUGCUUGAGUUUACCCCGCUACAUCAAGUCAUCUUACUUAAUGCGUUAUCCUGUUCUUAUGAACUUAAUACUCUAGAUGUAGGCAGGAGUCGGUGGACGUGUGGAGUAAUAGUAGUAGAUGCAAGCAGGAGUCAGUCUAGUUGAUACAAACGUGAUGCUUAUGUUCAUGAUCAUUGCCUUAGAUAUCGUCAUAACUUUGCGCUUUUAUAUCAAUUGCUCAACAGUAAUUUGUACACCCACUGUAAGAUUUUCUAUCUUGAGAGAAGCCUCUAGUGAAACUAUGGCCCCGGGGUCUACUUUCCAUCAUAUAAGUUUCCGAUCUACAAUUUUAGUUUCCUAUCACUUCCUUUGCAAUCUUUUACUUUCCAUUCCAUAAACCAAAAAUACCAAAAAUAUUACUUUACCGAUUAUCCAUCUCUAUCAGAUCUCACCUUGCAAAUAACCAUGAAGGAUUGACAACCCCUUUGUCGCAUUAGGUGUAAGUUGCUAUUUGUUUGAGCAUGUAUUCAGUGACUUGUGCAUUGUCUCCUACUGGAUUGAUACCUUGGUUCUCAAAACUGAGGGAAAUACUUACUCUACUUUGCUGCAUCACCCUUUCCACUUCAAGGGAAAAACCAACGCAAGCUCAAGAGGAAGUAGGAAGAAUUUCUGGCACCGUUGCCGGGGACAUCUACGCCAAGUCAAGACAUACCAAGUACCCAUCAUAAACUCUCAUCUCUUGCAUUAUAUUAUUUGCCAUUCGCCUCUCGUUUUCCUCUCCCCCACUUCUAAAAUGAUUUGCCUUUUCUUCGCCCUCUUCCAUUCAUCUUCUUCGCUUGCUUUUUGUGUGCUCAUGUGUUGGAUUGCUUGCUUUGUCACGAUGUCUCAAGAGAAUACCAAAUUGUGUGACUUUUCCAAUACCAACAACAAUGAUUUUAUUAGUACCCCGAUUGCUCCCGCUACUAAUGCGGAAUCUUGUGAAAUUAAUGCUGCUUUGCUGAGUCUUGUUAUGAAAGAUCAAUUUUCCGGCCUUCCCAAUGAAGAUGCCGCAUCCCAUCUAAACAAUUUCGUUGAUUUGUGUGAUAUGAAAAAGAAAAAAGAUAUGGAUAAUGAUAUUGUUAAAUUGAAGCUAUUUCCGUUGUCACUUCGAGAUCGUGCUAAAACUAGGUUUUCAUCUUUGCCUAAAAAUAGCGAGUGUCAUUUUUUAAUGCGAGUGAUUAGUUUUUAAAGAAUGAUUGGCAUUCUUUCUUAAUUGCUCAUCUACUAAUCGUUUGGCGUGUUUUCUUAUCUUGUCAAAAUCAUAUCCCCUGGCUGUAAAUAUCAAAGAAUAAUUUCAUUUGUUGGGCUUGGACUGUACUGUCCGAGAGUCAGAGUAUAAAUACCAUACGAUUUCAAGAGCAAUAGCAACGGGGCAACCAUUAGUCCAUACUCUACACCAUAUGGCUAGAAAUUUUAUAUUAUAUAUAACAAAGUUGUGACAAAUUGGAAAUGGAAAGCAAUAAAAUGAAUAUGUUGCUAUAGGUUAUUAUUAUUACACAUGCACGUGUACCUUGAUCCUUGCUUGGACAUAGGGUCCGAGGAAGUUACAUUGCUUUGACUACUGAUAUUGUUUGUGUUAAAGUGUGCCACAAUGGCAUAAAUAUUGUCGUUGCAUAAUGGGAAACCACGUCAUAUUUAUCGAUGAUAUGUGGAAAUAGGGAUAAGCUACUUUAUGAAGAUAUAUAAGGAUGUAUGGGUUACGUUGGUGGAAAAUGUUGUUAUGAACACAAAUGCAGUUGCAUUUAUCAUGCAUUCGCGGUGAAGUGCGCUAUUGUGGCAUAUAUCUUCCUUUUUGCCACAGAAGCAUGGUAGAAUUAUAAAGAGAGUAUGUUUCUAUAGACAUUUCAAAAAAGAGAUUUGUGUAUACUCUCAUUAUACUGUAAUCACCAUAGAUUAUUCAGAUUAGAAGUUGUUGUCUCUACCACAUAUUUAGAUUUUCUAUACAUACUAAUAUCUAUAUCGCAUAGAAAAUCAUGUAUUUAUAUGAGAUCUUUGUGGUGCAUGAUAAAGCAAGAUUCCUUUUGUUAUUGCAGCAAUUUAUAAGUAUUUAAAUAUAUACUAAUAGCUAGUUUCUUCUGUGUUAUAAGGACAAAAUAAGACAUGCAUAGACAUGCAAAUACGUAUUAGAAAUCUGCUACUCCAAAUGUAUCAUGUUAAUCCAUGUAAGCCACGAAUCGCGUGCAUAUCAGGCAAAGCAGUUUUUUUUGUAAAAACAAUACAUAAUACUAAUCGAUGGUAUAGACGAUUCAAUACAUAUGCAUCAAGACACCGCUACCUUGCACAUAGUGAUAUAGGAUGGAAUUGAAUCUGAUCCGCUCCUUUCCAACUUAAUCGAGUAAUGUGUACUUCUCAUAAAUAGGCAUGUAUAUAGUAAUUGUUCUUUUGACCAAACGCUUGGUAUAUUAAUGAUCACAUUAUACAUUUAUGUAACAUUUCUUACUUGCGAAAUCUUUUACAAAUUGGAAUAUGGGAAUUUUAUUAAUACCUAGAAGAAAUACUACUAUUUAGAACAUAUAAUAACUGGUACUAUACUUUUUCUUAAUAUUGGUACUAUACUUAAUUGGACCAAAAGUUGCACAUAUUUUUGAUUAGUUCAUUUUUUUCUACAGAUUUAUCGGCGCCAUUAUUUCUCUAUGGUUGACAUGUAUAUGAACUACUGUCUGUAUAUAUUGAUCUGCAUUUAGACAAAUAUCAGGGACAAACACACAUACUGUUUAGCAUGUGUAGUUGUAAAGGUAGAAUACUGAUUUGUAGUAUUAAGAAAAUAUAUUUAUAAGAUCUUACUACAAUGUAUAUGGAUUGAGAAUCAGAGAAAUAACCAAGUGUUGUGCAAGGAUCAUUCUGACUAUCCAGUGGCAGAAUAAAAAUAGGAUGCUAAGCGCGGGGAGAAUACUUAUGUCCUAUAAACCUGCAAAUAAGAAGCAUGCAUUCACCAUAUAUUAGAAUUCCAAAUUUUAUAGUUCCUUUGCAUGUUGGAAAUAAGCUUUGCCCCUUGUGAUAUGGAUUAUCACGUAGAAUGGAAAGAGGAGAAAAAAAUUAUGGCUUAGCAGAAUCAAUGAGGAAAAGCACUACAUGUGAAGUAUCAAAACGUUGUGAUAGCACGAACCCCACCAGAUUUGAACUCGUGCUCUUAGUAUGACAUGAAAAGAGGGGCUACUCUCCAAUCGAAGUGAAAAUAGUAGAACUUUGAACUUAUAUAUAUAUACGCUUAAAAAUUCUAAAAGCAAAUGGUCAAAAACUCAGAAUAGCUUGAGCGGGCACUACUUGCUAACUCAAGCACAUGGCAACACAGUAUUAAGUCAAGAUUUUGCAACCGAGAGGGAAAGUCAAAUAAAUAAAUAAAUAAAUAAGGAUUCUCAUCAAACCUGUGAAUCCAAGCUAGUAUCUAACUAUUGUAUUGCUCAUAGUUUUGCAUACACCAUGGAACGUACGAUACAUAGCAUGUUGAAAAAUUAUAACCAAUUAAAUAGAAGAUAAAGGCAUAGUGCUAGGAGAUCAUCUCUCAGAGCAAUCAUCGCUGACAUAAACCUUCGGUUAAAUCACAUGUCUAAUUAGAACCUAGAGGUCUUUUACUUUUCCUUUAUAUGGAACCUUUAUUUUGACCUUUGGGGACUAUAGCCGCCUCAAAUAUGCAACUUUUUUUCGAAAUUUUAGUAUAGUGUAGUUGGAGCUUUUCCUGGUGUUCCAUAAAAAUAGCAAAGGGCAUAUUUCCUUUAGCCUACUUAUAUAUAAAAAAACGGCGUUCCUUAAUUAUUAUUCAAACUGAAAACACAUGCUAUCUUUAAAAGCAAAGAUGUACCUUAUGUGAGAAUCAUGCAUGUGUUAUUUCUAAUUAGUUAGGCAAUAAAAUAAUAGCAUCGUAUCAUUAGAUAAAUUAUUUUUCAACUGAAUCAGACAUGUGGGGUUUGACAAAAUUGAAAGUAUAUGCGAAGAUGUUAAGGAGAAAAUGUCAAUAUAAAAAAACUGUUUCUAUAGGCAGAUGUGAAUUACGUACAAAAAUAGGUCUGUUCGCUUUACAAAAGUUCUGGUGAAACCAAACUCCUGAGUUACUACAUGUAGAGCUCAAAAAUACCAGAUAUAGAGUAUAAAAUGAGAAUGGAAUACUAAGUGCAUCUUACAGAAAUUAUAAGAUCUUUUUAAUAGCUUCCUCAAUAUUACAUAGCAUACACAACAAUGAGGCAUCAAAUGAAUCAGUAUUCUAAAUAUGUAAAGAAGAAUAAGAAACACAAAGUAGCUGCUGCUCGAGCAACUACUACAUGCAAAUACAAUGCUUGAGAAUUUUCAAGCGUUCUGUUCGCUUUUUACCCUGAUUCAGCAUGGAUUAAAAAACCACAGUACUUAAUUCCGUGUAUCCUAAAUUCAAGCGUCAUGUUCGACGAAUUUCACCAUAGAUUUACAUGCCUGUGGACUUGUAGAACCAACAGCGCACUCUACAACAUCCGACAGAUAAAUCGAUCUGCUUUCCGUUCGCUGUAGGUUGUUCAUUGGGAAGCAGCACGAUCCACUUUAGACCACCAUCAGUAGACCUGAUCCUACGCUGCAUCGCAUUGUUAUAUUGCAGUCAGCUCGGAACUUAUGUCAAGGAGAAUAGUUAGACGAUGGAUUUGAUAUUUGGCCUUUUUGAGAUCUGAAACGUGUGUGUACUUCGUAGCUGUCAGCAGGUGGAAGGCCGUCCUGACAAAGAGGCAUAUUGCAUCCUAAAUUCAAGCACCAUGUUCGAAAAAAAAUCAGUAUGGGUUUACUUGCCUGUGGACUUGUAGAACCAACAUCAAACCCGACAAAAUCGGACAGAUAAAUCGAUCUGCUUUCCGUUCGUAGUAGGUUCUCCAAUGGGCAGCAGCACGAUCCACUUUAGACCACCUGAUCCUACGCUGCAUCUUGCAGUCAGCUCCGAACUUAACCCAGAAGAAUAGUUAGACGAUGGAUUUGAUAGUUGGCCUUUUUUUAGAUCAGAAUUGUAGGUGCAGGGUGGCUCGGCGAUCCUGACAAAGAUGAGAUUGAUCGGGGUCGCUAAUAAUCCCUUGUAGCACCUGCCGGGAUCCUUUGUGGUUCGCCGAGUGCACUUGAUGGCGAUGGGAUCAAGGGAAGAGAAGAAUUGAAGGAGGUGGGGUCGAGGGACAUGUUUUUCCUAUUUUAGGGGGAGAUAUCUUUCCUUUCUGUUUUUGCGUGAUUGUUUUCGUUUUUCAAUCGGCCGAAGAUUUUAUUGACAGAUCUAUUUUCUUUUUCUUUUCAUCACGGGAUUUUACAUGAAAGGAGGCUAUCUUUUUUUAGCAUGGAAGGAAGAUAUCUUUUUUAAAGGAACCGAUGGAUGCUUUGUUUGUUUGUUAAGCCAAUCUUGACGGUGUCGCGUUCCUUUAUUUUUUACGGGGCCAUAUAUGCUACCAUUGAUUGCAAUUAGUUUUUUUCUCUUGGAGAUGGAUUAUUUGUUUGUUGAACGUGUCUGCCUUAAUUAUGGAUGGACCAUCUGUGUAACGCAUGUUUACUUUUUAUCUUGGACGUUAAUUCUAUAAUCUAUCGGUGUAAUUAAUUUUGAUGAUGUGGAUUAAUGAGAAGGCCUUAAAAGGUGCCUCCAAUUAGUAAAUAUAUAAGAUAUAAGAUAUUGAUUCAUGGAAUAAGUUUAAGGAUGAAUUUAUUUCCAAGUAUUUUCCUCCCGCUAAGAUCAUCUCUCUUAGGAACGACAUUAUGAAUUUUAACCAACUUGAUCAUGAACAUGUUGCACAAUCUCCGUAGAGGAUGAAAUUGAUGAUAUGAAAUUGCCCUACACAUGGUUUGAAUAUGUGGAUGAUUAUACAAUUUUUUAUGCCGGAUUGAAUUUUGCUUCUAGAAAUCUUUUAGAUUCGGCCGUGGGAGGUACUUUUAUGGAAAUUACUUUAGGAGAAGCUACUAAACUCCUAGAUAAUAUUACGGUUAAUUAUUCUCAAUGGUAUACUGAAAGAUCUUCCACUAGUAAAAAAGUGCAUGCGAUUGAUGAGUUUAAUGUUUUGAGUGGAAAGAUGGAUGACCUUAUGAAAUUAUAUGCUAGCAAGAGUGCUUCUGUUGAUCCUAAUGAUAUGCCUUUGUCUACUUUGAUUGAGAAUAAUAAUGAAUCUAUGUAUGUGAAUUUUGUUGGUAGGAACAAUUUUGGUAAUAACGCUUAUGGAGGUAAUUUUAAUCCUAGACUGCUUCCUAAUAAUUCCCCUAAUAAUUAUGGCAAUUCCUACAACAAUUCUUCACUGGUAGAAAAAGGGCCUGUAGUCCCGGUUCGUAAGGGCCUUUAGUCCCGGUUCCUGAACCGGGACUAAAGUGUCGGUACUAAUACCUCCCACCUUUAGUCCCGGUUCAAUCCAGAACCGGGACUAAAGCCCAUCCACGUGGGCAGUGUGCAGAGCCCAGUCAGGAGACCCUUUGGUCCCGGUUGGUGGCACCAACCGGGACCAAUAGGCAUCCACGCGUCAGCAUUUCUGUGNNNNNNNNNNNNNNNNNNNNNNNNNNNNNNNNNNNNNNNNNNNNNNNNNNNNNNNNNNNNNNNNNNNNNNNNNNNNNNNNNNNNNNNNNNNNNNNNNNNNNNNNNNNNNNNNNNNNNNNNNNNNNNNNNNNNNNNNNNNNNNNNNNNNNNNNNCCGGUUCAAUCCAGAACCGGGACUAAAGCCCAUCCACGUGGGCAGUGCGCAGAGCCCAGUCAGGAGACCCUUUGGUCCCGGUUGGUGGCACCAACCGGGACCAAUAGGCAUCCACGCGUCAGCAUUUCUGUGGCUAGGGUUUUUAUUUUUAUUUUUUGAAAGGGGGGGGGGGUUGGGGGUUUUGGGGGGUUAAUUUAGGUGUUUCAUAUAUUGUGUUAGCUAGCUAUAAUUAAUAUAGAGAAGUGUCCUCUCUUAUGUCCGUGCUUGGUCGACGCUACGUACUAUACAUACGUAUAGAGAGGACUAGACACGCUGGCUAGCUAGUAAAGCAAACGAAGGAAACAGAAGAUCGUCAUGAACAUAUAUGCAUACAGAGAGAAGUGAUAUCGACCACCUCUCCUUCUCCGAGAGAUUGGUCGAACAACAAGUUCUCGUAUAUCUAUCUGACAGUACCGGCUACAUAUAUACAGUAAUUAUCUCUUACAAAUAUAAUCAUACGGACUCAGGUUUAACAUAGAAUUCUCCGUCUUCAGGGAUCACGUGGUCAAAAAAGAAUGCCGCCAAUUCCUCUUGAAUUGCUCGCAUGCGAGCUGGUGCUAGGAGUUCAUCCCGCUUCCGAAACAUCUAAUUUGAAGAAGGGGGUCAAUACAUAUAUAUAUAUAUAUGAAUGAAUGAAACUCAACACAAAUGAUGGUAAUAAAAUAAAAUUGUGAAUAUUGUUAUUUACGUACUUCAUAUUGUUCGUUAGAGUACCCGCCCCGCUCACACGUCGUGUGACGGAUGGACUCGCAGAUGUAGUAUCCACAGAAAUCAUUCCCUUGUUCCUGCCACAACCACUUUACAAGAAAUAGAGGUCAAUCAAACUGAUAAGCAAGAAUGCUAAAUGGUAUUGAUGAAACUAGCGCUUGAAUCACUAGGAGAUGCGCGGAACAUGCUACUAUAGUACUUACUUUCGGGUGUCUAAAUUCUAGCUCCUUCGGCAGUCCCGGAACUUUUUUGGUGAAUUUUCUCCAAACCAUGCCGGACAAAGAAAACAAUUACUUGAUAUCAGGAAAUGAACAAAGUUGCUGAUAUGGUGGAUAAUGAUCGAUUUAACUUACUUCUUGAGGAUUUCAGUCAUGUCUGCAUAGUCCUGCGGAUCUUUUCGUUUUGAGUCUAAGAAGGUUACUAGUCCCUGCUCAAGCUUAAUCUCUAGGAGAAUAUAGUGGAAACUGCACACGCAUGCAUAACUUAUGAAUUACAUUACUAUAACCUUGAGUAAUAUAUAAGGGAAACCGAAUACGCACAAGACAGUAGCACUCACUUGAAGUUGUAAGGAAAGAGUAUUAUAUCUUUGUUUUGAUUUAUUACGAACGAUUGUAGAAAGUUGGCCUCGGUAGCUGUGACAUGAAGUUUAACCUGAAUUGCAUCUAUGAGAUAUGUGUUAAUGAACCCAAUAUCACCGACUUGUCUUUUCUUCAAUUCGACGAUCUUCAAUCUGCAUAAUAUAGUGAGGAUGAUUAUAAAUACAUGCAAUGAAAGAGCUAAGCUAUAUAGAGAAACUUAAUGACAGAAGUAGUACUACUUACAGACAGUAGCAGGCGACCGUUGUUUUAUCGAGGGCCAAUUGAUUGAAAAACUGAUAGAACUCCUCAAAUGGAACAGGCAACAGAUCAAUUCCAACGAGGUCAUGCUCCUUUUUAACUCUCACAUACAAAGUACUCCUCCCCCAGAGUCUCUGCAGAUUUUCAAGUACCAAUCAUGCAAUCUUCGCAUCAUCGUUGAUAGAGAUCUUUCAUCUUUGACGAGAGGCUUCCCGUACUCGUAUCUUUGCAUCUGCAUGUCCAUGGGUUCAUAAUGUACUUCGUCGGGUAGGUAAUCUGCAAGAUUAUUAUAACCGGGCACCAUCCUCGGAUCAUUAGCGACUUUGUGGCUAGGCACCUUGAGCGAGGGGCAUGAUUGCUUCGCUUGUUUGCCGAGCUGGGCAAUUUGUUUCCCAGCUCGUCGUUUUUUCAGCCUUUCAUCACUGACAGUAGUUCCCGACCGCUCCGCUUCGGCAAAUUCCUUUCCAAUAAUGCGGUCAUAGUUUCCUUUCGGCGGAUCAGACUUUGGUGGUUUUGUCAGGGCAGCCAGAGUGCGCUUCACUUUCACCCCAUCUACCUUCUCCUCUGGAGGUGGAUGUUUCUUUGCUUUCACCCCUUCAAAGAAUUUCCUCACUUCUUCUCACGCGAUCUCGGCGUUCUCCUCCUGGGUCCUCUCGUAUGGUAACUUCUCUGGAGUCUUCAGAGAAGGACCGAAUCUGUAUGUCCUCCCGCCUCUGGUUGUACUGCUAGACGCCGACCGAGCAAACGAAGCGGUUGUCUUCUUUACUUGCUUAAGAGGCGGAGGAGAAGGACUACGACCCGCCGGAGCAGCUGGAGCGGCGGCAGGUCUCUUCUGCCCUUGCUGACGAGGCGGAGAAGGAGGAGGUUGGCUGCUCGGGCGCGUCGGCGCAGGCGGAGACGGAGGCGGAGUGCCGCCACGCGCCGGAGAAGGAGCCGGCCGAGGGCCCUGAUCCUCACUCGCCGGAGGAGGAGGUGGUGGAGGAGGCGGAGUGCCCUGACUCGCCGGAGGAGGAGGAGGAGGCGGAGGCGUCCAGUUCGGAAGGUUGAUGAGGUCCUUCCGCCAUAGGCAUGGAGUCUUCAGAGCAGACCCCAGCCGAGUCUCCCCUUCACCGGUAGGGUGGUCAAGCUGGAGGUCCUCAAAUCCCUCCGUUAUCUCAUCCACCAUCACCCUAGCAUAUCCUUCUGGAAUCGGCAUGCAGUGAAAAGUUGCGCCGGGUUCAGUAGGAUAAACAGAGCCAACAGCCGCCUUGACCUUCAAAUUCAUCCAUUGCGUCAUAAGGUGGCAAUUUUGAGACUCCGUUAUAGCAUCCACAGGAUAGCUGGCAGGAGCCGUCAAGGCAUGCUGCAGCUGAAGCUGCUCGGUGGAAGCCACGCUGCUUCUGCGCUGAGAUGGCGGGGUAGCUUCGGGGGAGGCUUCGGCAGUACGUUUGUUGCGAUUUGCUUCUCGUUCCUCUAUCGCUUGUACCCUUGCGUGCAGCGCCUGCAGUUCGGUCUGCUGCACUUUUUUCCUCCUCUCAUGGGAUUUGUAACCGCCUGCGUCCGGAAACCCAACCUUCCACGGAACGGAGCCUGGCGUGCCUCGUGUCCGUCCAGGGUGCUCAGGAUUCCCGAGGGCCAUUGUGAGCUCGUUGUGCUCUCUGUCUGGAAAGAACGUCCCUUCCUGCGCUGCGUCGAUAUAGUGCUUAAGCUUACUGACUGGUAUGUCCAUUUGUUCGUUCGUCCAAAUGCAGUUCCCUAUUUCAGGGUCCAAGGUUCCGCCACCCCCGAAGAACCAAGUCCGGCAACGGUCUGGCCAGUUAUUUGUCUCUGGUCCGAUCCCUUUAUGAACCAGAUCAUUCUCAACCAUGGACCACUUAGGCCGGGCUACGAGGUAGCCACCUGACCCCGUGCGAUGGUGAAGCUUCUUCUUCGCGGCAUUCUGCUUGUUUGUCGCCGACAUCUUCUUACUCUUUUCCGAUGUCUUGUAGGCCACAAAUGCGGGCCAGUGAUCUCUGAUCUUCUCAUAUCUUCCCUUGAAUUCUGGUGUCUCUUUUUUAUCGACAAACCUAUUCAGCUCUUUCUUCCACCUCCUGAAUAGAUCUGCCAUCCUCUUCAGAGAAAAAGACUUGAUUAAUUUCUCUUUAAUUGGGUUCUCUGGAUUAUCCUCUGGCGGUAGGGUGAAAUUUGACUUCAGCUCAGUCCAAAGAUCAUUUUUCUGCAUAUCAUUGACAUAAGACACCUCAGGGUCUUCUGUAGCCGGCUUAAACCAUUGCUGGAUGCUUAUCGGGAUCUUGUCCCUAACCAGAACCCCGCACUGAGCAACAAAUGCCCUCUUUGUCCGGAGGGGUUCAAUAGGUUGGCCGUCGGGCGCGAUUGCUGUGAUCUCAAGCUUUUCAUCCGAGCUCAACUUUUUCUUCGGGCCUCGUCUCUUUACCGAAGUUGUGCUCGAUCCGGAGGGCUAGAAAAAAGAACAAAGACUUAAUUAAUAUGUGUACAUACCAAAACAAUGAAUGCAUCAAUCAGCUAGUCAGCAUAGGCUUAACUAAUAUAUAUACCUGGCCGGACUCGGUUCGGUCACCGGAGCCGUCAUCACGGUCUCCUUCUUGCACCGGCAUUGGGUCACCGGCGCCGUCCUCAUGUUCUUCUUCUUGCACCGGCAUUAGGUCACCGUAGCCAGCUUGUUCACCCUCUCCUUCCGGACCAUCGAUGAUAUCGUUGAGAUAGUACGAGACGGCAUCACUUCCUUGUGCGAUUAUCUCCCUCAACAACGCUUCUUUUGUUGCUUCGUCUAGGGCGGUGUCCAUAGUUUCUACAAAUAUUUACAACAUGGCAAUUAUUAUUCAAACAUGACAGAUGGAUAUAUUAGUGCCAAACGUAGAACUACCUACCUAAUCAUAGUAAGCUAUCGGGAGGGGGUAUAUAUCGACAACGACGACACUACAUCUAUAUAUGUCCCUCGAUGACCCUCGUUCCUGAUAAAAAAAGAGGAAGAAGAAGAAAAAAAAGAGGAGAAGAAAGAAUAGAGGAGAAGAACUCCUCUAUUCUUUCUUCUCCUCUUUUUUCUUCUUCUUCCUCUUCUUUUUUUAUCCUCUUCUUCCUCUCAUGUUCGAGAGGAUCGCCUUGGGGUCGGGAGGUUGCCUAGUGUCAAAGGAUUCAACAAAACCAUGUCUUCAUCAUUAGGCGAAAGUAACAUGUGCAUGAUGGUAGGAAGCUCUUCAAAGUUGUUCUGGAACGGAGUCCCAGAUAGGAUAAUUCGCUUUUUGGUACAAAGUUCAGCAAGAGCCUUCCGAAUAUCGCUAUUUGGAAGGCCUUUGCUGAAUUCGUACCAAAAGGCGGAUUAUUCUAUCCGGGACUCCAUUCCAGAACAACUUUGCAGAACUUCAUACCAACAUGCCCUGGUUACUUCCGGCUAAUGAUGAAGGCAUGGAUUUCUUCAAUACUUUGACACUAGGAAACCUCUCUCGACCCCUCGGCGAUUCUUGACCCCUCGAACCCUCAACGACCCUGAAACCCUCGACGCUUGACCCCUUAACGACCCUCGACCCUCUACCCUAGUUCCCGACCCUCGACCAAUAGAGGAGAAGAAGAAAGGAAUAGCUAGAGGAGAAGAUCGAAGAAAAAAAAGAAGAAACAAAAGAGGAGAAGAAGAAAGGAAUAGUGGAGAAGAAGAGAAAAUAGAAUAUAUAUUCUAUUUUCUCUUCUUCUCCACUAUUCCUUUCUUCUUCUCCUCUUCUUUUUCUUCUGUUUUCUUCUUCUUAUUUAUUUCUCCUCUUCUUUUCGGUAGAGGAAACCCUAAAUAGCUAGCAAGUAUCGUGGGUGUGAGAUACAUGUGGCCUUCGGUGUCGGACACUACAUCCACGUCCCACAAGUGACGUGGGCGUCGAAACCCGCGCCACUUGUGGGAUGUGGAUGUAGUGUCCGACACCGACGGUACAUGUAUCUCACACCGACGAUACUUUCUAUUUAGGGUUUCUCCUCUACCACUCGGCGGCCCUCUCGACGACCCUCGUUCCCGAUAAUAUAAAGAGGAAGAAGAAGAAGAAAAAAGAAGAGAAGAAAGAAUAGAGGAGACGAACCCUCGAACCCUCGAACCCUAGACGACCCUCUUCUUCCUCUCAUGUUCGAGAGGAUCGCCGAGGGGUCGGGAGGUUGCCUAGUGUCAAAGGAAACCCUAAAUAGCUAGCAAGUGUCAUGGGUGUGAGAUACAUGUGGCCUUCGGUGUCGGACACUACAUCCACGUCCCACAAGUGACGUGGGCGUCGAAGCCCGCGCCACUUGUGGGAUGUGGAUGUAAUGUCCGACACCGACGGUACAUGUAUCUCACACCGACGAUACUUUCUAUUUAGGGUUUCUCCUCUACCACUCGGCGGCCCUCUCGACGACCCUCGUUCCCGAUAAAAUAAAGAGGAAGAAGAAGAAGAAAAAAGAAGAGAAGAAAGAAUAGAGGAGAAGUCUCCUCUAUUCUUUCCUCGCCUCUCUCAUGAAUGUCCGGCGUUCUCGACCCCCCCCCCUCCCCACGUGUCGAAGAAAAAAAAGAAGAAAAAAAAGAGGAGAAGAAGAAAGGAAUAGAGGAGAAAAGAGAAAAAUAGAAUAUUCNNNNNNNNNNNNNNNNNNNNNNNNNNNNNNNNNNNNNNNNNNNNNNNNNNNNNNNNNNNNNNNNNNNNNNNNNNNNNNNNNNNNNNNNNNNNNNNNNNNNNNNNNNNNNNNNNNNNNNNNNNNNNNNNNNNNNNNNNNNNNNNNNNNNNNNNNNNNNNNNNNNNNNNNNNNNNNNNNNNNNNNNNNNNNNNNNNNNNNNNNNNNNNNNNNNNNNNNNNNNNNNNNNNNNNNNNNNNNNNNNNNNNNNNNNNNNNNNNNNNNNNNNNNNNNNNNNNNNNNNNNNNNNNNNNNNNNNNNNNNNNNNNNNNNNNNNNNNNNNNNNNNNNNNNNNNNNNNNNNNNNNNNNNNNNNNNNNNNNNNNNNNNNNNNNNNNNNNNNNNNNNNNNNNNNNNNNNNNNNNNNNNNNNNNNNNNNNNNNNNNNNNNNNNNNNNNNNNNNNNNNNNNNNNNNNNNNNNNNNNNNNNNNNNNNNNNNNNNNNNNNNNNNNNNNNNNNNNNNNNNNNNNNNNNNNNNNNNNNNNNNNNNNNNNNNNNNNNNNNNNNNNNNNNNNNNNNNNNNNNNNNNNNNNNNNNNNNNNNNNNNNNNNNNNNNNNNNNNNNNNNNNNNNNNNNNNNNNNNNNNNNNNNNNNNNNNNNNNNNNNNNNNNNNNNNNNNNNNNNNNNNNNNNNNNNNNNNNNNNNNNNNNNNNNNNNNNNNNGGGACUAAAGGGGGGCAAUGGUCACGGUUGGUGCCACGAACCGUGACCAAUGCCACCUUUAGUCCCGGUUGGUGCCACCAACCGGGACCAAUGCCCUUGUGCGCCCCGCGCCCAGAAGUUUAGUCCCACAUCGCUAGCUGAAGGGCGCCGAUACUGGUUUAUAAGCGCUGCUCUGCCUCCCCUUUCGAGCUCCUCUCAAAUGCAGGCUUUCGGGCCUAAACUGCUACUGCCUGUGGGCCUAUUGGGCCUCUGCGGGCCUGAAUCCUGGCCCAUGUAGGGUUUCUAGUCGUAUUCAGGCCGUGGAGGCCCAGUAGGAGGCAUUUUUUUUGGUUUUUUCUUUUUUGUUUCUAUAUUUUUUUGGUUUUUUAUUUUUUUUAUUUCUACUUACAACUAAAUACUUACAGUUUUUUAGUGAUUUCUUUUUGCUUUUAGGUCACAAAAAUUAUAAACUUUCUAUUAGUGCCAUUAGUUUUAAAUUUUAAAUAGUUUAAAUUUGAAUUUUUAAAAAUUUGUGUGAAUCACUAGUUUAUGAAUAACUUUACUAUAAAGUUAGAAUUUGUUUUCUAUUUAUUUUUUAUUUCUACUUACAACUAAAUACUUACAGUUUUUUAGUGAUUUGUUUUUGCUUUUAGGUCACAAAAAUUAUAAACUUUCUGUUAGUGCCUUUAGUUUUAAAUUUUAAAUAGUUUAAAUUUGAAUUUUUAAAAAUUUGUGUGAAUCACUAGUUUAUGAAUUUUUUUCUUCUUUGCUAUUUAUUUUUGAUUUAUACUUACAAUUAAAUACUUAUAGUUUGCUUUUAGGUCACACAAAUUAUAUUCUUUUUGCUAUUGAAGAAUAUUAUAGUUUUAUUUUAGUUGAUCAUAACAUAAUAUUUUAAUUGAUUGUUUUUAUUUUCAUAAAAGUUUUGUAGUUCAUUCUGUUUGCUAUUAAUUCAUUCUUUGAGCUAAAUGACUCUGAAAUUGGAAAGCAUUUCAAAAUGAACUCUGAAAAGGUUGAAAGUUGGCAUGGUAUCAUCAUUUCACCCACAUAGCAUGUUCCAAAAAGUAGAGAGGGUUACGACAAAAACUUGAUGCACUUCGUGUACAAAAUGGACAAUCACUUUCGAAGUAUCAAAGUUUCAAACCAUAAGACAUGAAAGCAUUUCGAAUGAACUCUGAAAAAGUUGAAAGUUGGGAUGCAUGGUAUCAUAAUUUCACCCACAUAGCAUUUUCUUAUUGCGGGAGAAAGUCUUCACUUUUUCUUCGCUUGUGUCAUUUGCUUAUUGCGCCGUAACCAUGGAUAAUCUUCAUUGUUUUUAAGGAUGCUUGGGUCAGCCUUGACAUUGAAGGGAGGAAUUUCAUGAAACUUUUCAUAAUCUUCAGACAUGUCUGUCUUGCCGUCCACUCCCAGGAUGUCCCUUUUUCCUGAAAGAACUAUGUGGCGCUUUGGCUCAUCGUAUGAUGUAUUCGCUUCCUUAUCUUUUCUUUUUCUCGGUUUAGUAGACAUGUCCUUCACAUAGAUAACCUGUGCCACAUCAUUGGCUAGGACGAACGGUUCGUCAGUGUACCCAAGAUUUUUCAGAUCCACUGUUGUCAUUCCGUACUGUGGGUCUACUUGUACCCCACCGCCAAACAGAAUGACCCAUUUGCACUUAAACAAAGGGACCUUAAAAUCAGGUCCGUAGUCAAGUUCCCAUAUGUCCACUAUGUAACCAUAAUAUGUGUCCUUUCCUCUCUCGGUUGCUGCAUCAAAGCGGACACCGCUGUUUUGGUUGGUGCUCUUUUGAUCUUGGGCGAUCGUGUAAAAUGUAUUCCCAUUUAUCUCGUAUCCUUUGUAAGUCAAUACAGUCAAAGAUGGUCCCCUGGACAACAAGUACAACUCAUCACAAACAGUGUUGUCACCUCUGAGACGUGUUUCCAACCAACUCCUGAAAGUCCUGAUGUGUUCACAUGUAAUCCAGUCGUCGCAUUGCUCCGGGUGUUUGGAGCGCAGACUGUUCUUGUGUUCAUCGACAUACGGGGUCCCCAAGGUAGAGUUCUGUAGAACUGUGUAGUGUGCUUGAGACCAAGAAUAUCCGUCCCUGCAUAUUAUUGAGUCUCUUCCAAGAGUGCCUUUUCCAGUCAGUCUCCCCUCAUACCGCGAUUUAGGGAGACCUAUCUUGUUAAGGCCAGGAAUGAAGUCAACACAAAACCCGAUAACAUCCUCUGUUUGAUGGCCCAUGGAGAUGCUUCCUUCUGGCCUAGCGCGGUUACGGACAUAUUUCUUUAGGACUCCCAUGAACCUCUCAAAGGGGAACAUAUUGUGUAGAAAUACGGGCCCCAGGAUGACAAUCUCGUCGACUAGAUGAACUAGGACGUGCGUCAUGAUAUUGAAGAAGGAUUGUGGGAACACCAGCUCGAAACUGACAAGACAUUGCGCCACAUCACUCCUUAGCCUUGGUACCAUUUCUGGAUCGAUCACCUUCUAAGAGAUUGCAUUGAGGAAUGCACAUAGCUUCACAAUGGCUAAUCGGACGUUUUCCGGUAAAAGCCCCCUCAAUGCAACCAGAAGCAGUUGCGUCAUAAUCACGUGGCAGUCAUGAGACUUUAGGUUCUGAAACUUUUUCUCUGGCAUAUUUAUUAUUCCCUUUAUAUUCGAUGAGAAGCCAGUCAUGACCUUCAUACUAAGCAGGCAUUCAAAGAAGAUUUCUUUCUCUUCUUUCGUAAGAGUGUAGCUGGCAGGACCUUUAUACUGCUUCGGAGGCAUGUCAUCUUUUUUGUGCAAACGUUGCAGGUCCUCCCAUGCCUCCGGCGUAUCUUUUGUCUUCCCAUACACGCCCAAGAAGCCUAGCAGGUUCACGCAAAGGUUCUUCGUCACGUGCAUCACGUUGAUUGAGGAGCGGACCUCUAGGUCUUUCCAGUAGGGUAGGUCCCAAAAUAUAGAUUUCUUCUUCCACAUGGGUGUGUGUCCCUCAGCGUCAUUCGGAACAGCUAGUCCACCGGGACCCUUUCCAAAGAUGACGUAGGGUAAAUCAUUGACCAUAGCAAGCACGUGAUCACCGGUGCGCAUGGCGGGCUUCUUUCGGUGAUCUGCCUCGCCUUUGAAAUGCUUGCCUUUCUUUCGACAUUGAUGGUUGGUCGGAAGAAAUCGACGAUGGCCCAGGUGCACAUUCUUCCUGCAUUUGUCCAGGUAUAUACUUUCAGUGUCAUCUAAACAGUGCGUGCAUGCGUGGUAUCCUUUGUUUGUCUGUCCUGAAAGGUUACUGAGAGCGGGCCAAUCGUUGAUGGUCACGAACAGCAACGCCUUAAGGUUAAAUUCCUCCUGUCUGUGCUCAUCCCACGUACGUACACCAUUUUCAUUCCACAGCUGUAAAAGUUCUUCAACUAAUGGACUUAGGUACACAUCAAUUUCGUUGCCGGGUUGCUUAGGGCCUUGGAUGAGAACUGGCAUCAUAAUGAACUUCCGCUUCAUGCACAUCCAAGGAGGAAGGUUAUACAUACAUAGAGUCGCGGGCCAGGUGCUGUGAUUACUGCUCUGCUCCCCGAAAGGAUUAAUGCCAUCCGCGCUUAAAGCAAACCAUACAUUCCUAGGGUCCUUUGCAAACUCAUCCCAGUACUUUCUCUCGAUUUUUCUCCACUGCGACCCGUCAGCGGGUGCUCUCAACUUCCCAUCUUUCUUUCGUUUCUCACUGUGCCAUCGCAUCAACUUGGCAUGCUCUUCGUUUCUGAACAGACGUUUCAACCGUGGUAUUAUAGGAGCAUACCACAUCACCUUUGCAGGGACCCUCUUCCUGAGGGGCUCGCCGUCAACAUCACCGGGGUCAUCUCGUCUGAUCUUAUACCGCAACGCACCGCAUACCGGGCAUGCGUUCAGAUCCUUGUAUGCACCGCGGUAGAGGAUGCAGUCAUUAGGGCAUGCAUGUAUCUUCUCCACCUCCAAUCCUAGAGGGCAUACGACCUUCUUUGCUGCGUAUGUACUGUCGGGCAAUUCGUUAUCCUUUGGAAGCUUCUUCUUCAAUAUUUUCAGUAGCUUCUCAAAUCCUUUGUCAGCCACAGCAUUCUCUGCCUUCCACUGCAGCAAUUCUAGUACGGUACUGAGCUUUGUGUUGCCAUCUUCGCAAUUGGGGUAUAACCCUUUUUUGUGAUCCUCUAACAUGCGAUCGAACUUCAGCUUCUCCUUUUGACUAAUGCAUUGCGUCCUUGCAUCGACAAUGACCCGGCGGAGAUCAUCAUCAUCGGGCACAUCGUCUGGUUCCUCUUGAUCUUCAGCAGCUUCACCUGUGGCAGCAUCAUUGGGCACAUCAUCAUCUGGUUCCUCUUGAUCUUCACCAGCUCCCCCCGUUGCAGCAUCACCGUAUUCAGGGGGCACAUAGUUGUCAUCGUACUCUUCUUCUUCGCCGUCUUCCAUCAUAACCCCUAUUUCUCCGUGCCUCGUCCAAACAUUAUAGUGUGGCAUGAAACCCUUGUAAAGCAGGUGGGAGUGAAGGAUUUUCCGGUUAGAGUAAGACCUCGUAUUCCCACAUUCAGUGCAUGGACAACACAUAAAACCAUUCUGCUUGUUUUCCUCAGCCGCAUCGAGAAACUCAUGCACACCCUUAAUGUACUCGCGGGUGUGUCUGUCACCGUACAUCCAUUGCCGGUUCAUCUGCGUGCAUUAUAUAUAAUUAAGUGUCCAAAUUAAUAGAAGUUCAUCAUCACAUUAAAACCAAAGUGCAUACAUAGUUCUCAUCUAACAACAUAUAGCUCUCCAGAGCAUCUAAUUAAUUAAACCAUACAUUGAAACUAUGUAAAACAUUUCAAUGCGAAAACAAAUGCGAUCAUAAUCGCAACCAAGGUAACAAUUGAUCCAACGGCAUAAUGAUACCAAGCCUCGGUAUGAAUGGCAUAUUUUCUAAUCUUUCUAAUCUUCAAGCGCAUUGCAUCCAUCUUGAUCUUGUGAUCAUCGACGACAUCCGCAACAUGCAACUCCAAUAUCAUCUUCUCCUCCUCAAUUUUUUUUAUUUUUUCCUUCAACAAAUUGUUUUCUUCUUCAACUAAAUUUAACCUCUCGACAAUAGGGUCGGUUGGCAUUUCCGAUUCACAUACAUCCUAGAUAAAUAAAAUCUAUGUCACGUUGGUCAGCAUAAUUUUCAUAAACAAUAAAUGAACCAAUAGUUAUAAAGAUAAUAUACAUACCACAUCCGAAUCAUAGACAGGACGAGGGCCGACGGGGGCGGAUACCAAAACCAUCGCACUAUAUAAGAUGCAAUAAUAAAUGUAAGAAAAUGAUACAAGUAUCUAUCUAAACAUACAAGUAAGAAUAUUUUUCCUUUCAGAAAGAAGAUAAGAACAAGAGGCUCACCACGGUGGUGUCGGUGAUGAGAUCGGCGCGGGUGAUCGACGGCAGUGAAGACGGGGACGGGGCGUGACGGACCGCUAAAUCUAGACAAAUCUCGAGGAAAAUGGAGCUUGGAGGUCGAGCUUCGAGAGGAGAAAGCUUAAGUAGUGUGGCUCGGGCAUUCCAUCGAACACCUCAUGUGCAUAGGAGGUGAGCUAGAGCACCACAAAGCCCUCUCCCCCUCGGCCAGAGAAAACAGAGCACUGGGGUGCUCUGCUCACGAGCGAGGGGUAUAUAUAGGCACCUCAUUGGUCCCGGUUGGUGGCAUGAGCCGGGACUAAAGGGAAGCCUUUGGUCCCGGUUCGGGCCACCAACCGGGACCAAUGAUGGUGGGCCAGGAGGGAGGCCCAUUGGUCCCGGUUCGUCCCACCAACCGGGACCAAAAGGUCCAUACGAACCAGGACCAAUGGCCCACGUGGCCCGGCCGGCCCCCUGGGCUCACGAACCGGGACCAAUUCCCACAUUGGUCCCGGUUCAAGACUGAACCGGGACUAAUGGGCUGAGGCGGCCUGGACCAUAGCCCCUUUUUCUACUAGUGCUUAUGGAAAUUAUAAUAAGAUGCCCUCUAAUUUUGAGAAUAGUGUUAAAUAAUUUAUGAGUUCGCAAAAGAAUUUCAAUGCUUUGAUUGAAGAAAAAUUGCUUAAGAUUGGUGAUUUGGCUAGGAACGUGGAUAGAACUACCCUUGAUGUCGAUUCUUUGAAACUUAGAUCUAUUUCACAUAAGCAUGAUAUCAAUGAGUCUCUCAAGGCUAUGAGAAUUCCCAUUGAUGAGUGCAAGGAAAGAACCGCUAAGAUGCGUGCUAAAAAAGAUUGGUUUAUAAAAGCGUGUUCUUCUAGCUAGUUUCCGUGAAAAUAAUGAUGAAGAUCUUAAAGUGAUUGAUGUGACUCCUAUUGAAUUUUUGUUUUCCAAUAUAAAUCUUGAGAAAGAUGGGACUGGAUAUGAGUCAACUUUAGUUAGAAGGCGUCCCAAUGAUUCGGAGUUUUUAGAUAUUAAUGCAAAAAUUGAUAAAAGUGGGAUUGGAGAGGUUAAAACUUUAGGUAGUAAUGAACCCACUCUUUUGGAUUUCAAGGAAUUUAAUUAUAAUAAUUUCUCUUUAAUAGAUUGUAUUUCCUUGUUGCAAUCCAUGUUGAAUUUUCCUCAUGCUUAUAAUCAAAACAAAGCUUUUACUAAACAUAUCAUUGAUGCUAUGAUGCAAUCCUUUGAAGAAAAGCUUGAAUUGGAAGUUUCUAUUCCUACACUAGUAGACAAAGGGUCAAACAUGAAGCACAUUAGUGCCGGUUUGAAUUUGAGCCGGCACUAAUGUGUGCAUUAGUGCCGGUUCCAACGGCUAGCCGGCCGCUCUCAUUAGUACCGGUUCAUGGCGAACCUUUAGCACCGGUUCGUGCCACGAACCGGUACUAAAGUGAGUGGUGGCAGGAUGUUGUCACUCCGGGGCCCCUCCAGCACCUUUAGUACCGGGUCGUAUCACGAACCGGUCCUAAAGGCCGUCCUACAUAGACCCUUCGUCCACCCGAGCUCGCUCUGUUCUUCCCCUUUCCCCUCUCCUCUUUGUACUUUUCCCUCUUCCUCUCAAUCUCAUCACACAUUUUGCCCAAAAUUUGUCAAGAUUUGAAGGCCCCCAUCCAUUCAAAUGAUCACAAAGGUUAGCAACUUUUUCCUUUCAUCUCUCAUUGCUAGAUUAGCUCGUGCAAUGCUUUAUAUAGUGAUUGAUUUUUGAGUUUAGUAAUUUGGGAGGAAUUAUAUAUAUGUGCUAGUAUUUGAUUUAUAUGCAAUUUUAGGUCAAAAAUAACACUUAGUUUGCAUAUGUAGGUGUGGUUUACGUAGUACCUUCUAAAUCUCCGUCGUAACCACCGUCGAUCGCUCGCAACGUCCCGUCACCAGCACCACCUUUUGGUGAGCCUCUUGUUCAUGAAGUUUUAUAUAAAAAAUUGAUGUUUGUGUGAUUUGGAUAUAUAGUUACUCGUAUAAUUAUCUUACCCAUACGUUGUUUGUUAUACAUAGUGCCAUGGUUUUGAUAUCCGUCCCCGUUGGCCCUCGUCCGGGUUAUGAUUCGGAUGUGGUAUAUUCUAUUUUAAAACUAUUCAUUGCAUUUCGUGUUUAUGACAAAUUAUGCCCAUCAAGUUGACAUAGAUAUUUGUAUGUAGGAGGUAGUUGAAACGGAAAUUCCAACCGACCCUAUUGUCGAGAGGUUAAAUUUAGUUGAAAGAGAAAACGAGGAUUUGAAGGAAAAAUUGAAAAGAAUUGAGGGGGAGAAGAUGGAAUUGGAGUUGCAUGUUGCCGAUGUCGUCGAUGAUCACAAGAUUAAGAUGGAGAAAAUGCGCUUGAAGAUUAGAAAGAUUAGAAAAUAUGCCAUUCAUAGUGAGGCUUGGUAGCAUUAUGCUGUUGGAUCAAUUGUUACCUUAGUUGCGAUCUUGAUCGCAUUUGUUGUUGCAUUUAAAUUCUUUAGCUAGGGACUUAUUUGUUUGUUGCAUUUAAGUGUUGUAUGAUCUUUAUGUAUGAACCUUAUGUAUUGUAUUAAUUUGAUGUUUUCGGUGUUGUGUAUUGAAGAUGAGCCGGCAAUGGAUGUACGAUGACUGAUGCUCUCCCAAGUUCAUUAAUGGCGUGCGUACUUUUCUGCUUGCGGCUGAGGCAAACAAGCGAGCGGAUGGUUGUAUGCCUUGUCCAUGUGCUGGCUGUAAGAAUGGUCACAGUUACUCUACGUCAAGAACCAUUCACGUCCACCUGUUUGAGUCUGGUUUCAUGCCCCACUAUAAUGUUUGGACCAAGCAUGGAGAAAGAGGGGUUAUGAUGGAAGACAAUGAAGAAGAAGAGGACGACGAAAGCUAUCCUGGCCAUGGGUUCCCUGAAUACGGUGAUACAACAAUGAGGGAAGAAGCUGAGCCGGUAAUGCGGGAAGAAGCUGAGCCGGCAAUGCGGGAAGAAGCUGAACAAGAGGCACGGAUGAGCCCGUUGAUGAUCUAGGUCGGGCCAUUGCCGAUGCAAAGAGAAACCGCGCUAGUGAUUUGGAGAAGAAGAAGUUGCAGCGCAUGUUAGAGGAUCACAAAAAUUGUUGUACCCGAAUUGCGUAGGUGACAAGAAAAAGCUAGGCACCACACUGGAAUUGCUGCAAUGGAAGGCAAAGAAUGGUGUAUCUGACAUGGGAUUUGGAAAGUUGCUGGUAAUGAUAAAGGAUAUGCUUCCAAAGGACAACAAAUUGCUCGAGAGUACGUACGAAGCAAAGAAGAUUGUCUGCCCUCUAGGGUUAGAGGUGCAGAUGAUACAUGCAUGCCCUAAUGAUUGCAUCCCCUACCACGGUGAGUAUGAGGAUUUGAAAGCUUGCCCGGUAUGAGGUGCAUUGCGCUAUAAGAUCAGCCACGAUGACCAUGGUGAUGUCGAGGGCGAGCGCCCCAGGAAGAAGAUACCUGCCAAGGUGAUGUGGUAUGCUCCUAUAAUACCAUGGCUGAAACGUUUGUUCCAAAACAAUGAGCAUGCCAAGGCGAUGUGAUGGCACAGAGAAGACCGUAAGAAAGACGGAAAGUUGAGAGUACCCGCUGACGGGUCGCAGUGGAGAAAAAUCGAAAGAAAGUACGGGAAGGAGUUUGCAGAUGACGCAAGGAACGUAUGGUUUGGUCUAAGCGCAGAUGGCAUUAAUCCUUUUGGGGAGCAGAGCAGCAACCAUAGCACCUGGCCUGUGACUCUAUGUUUGUAUAACCUUCCUCCUUGGUUGUGCAUGAAGCGGAAGUUCAUUAUGAUGCCAGUGCUCAUCCAAGGCCCUAAGUGUCAGGACCCCGAUUCCAAGUCACAUCGUUCUAGCCGGUAACACCUCAUAUCACUUUGCGGCCUCAUGCACGGUAUCCCACAGGUGUCGCCUUACCAUGGCCCGGGACCGUUUGCGCCUUUUGGCUCACGUAUAUGAUAGUGUCGCUAGCAUCCAUAUGACAGAGAACCCGGGCCGACAUGGCUAGUCGUGAACCCAAAGCGGCACAGACCUAUGGAGACAGGCAUACAUGAAUCACAUCAAGCAUGUCAGUCAUCAGUGAGUGAAUCCGGGCUGUAGCACUGGGCUAACAGGACUCCGGGGAACCCGGGCUGUAGCAGGCUAGGCAGGACUCCGGAUGUCACCGCGUGACAUUUCCCCGAAGGGACAGACAUAGGAACGACGUGAAACACAUGCCGGCCAGUCAAGUGUCCUGAGCAGUAGUGCUGGGCUAGCAGGACUCCGGUGAACCGGGCUGUAGCGGACUACUAUGGCUCGAGGAACACUAGACUACGUUUCCCCAUAAGAAAGGCUGCCAAGGAUAAACAACUAGAUUGUCGGAUCCCACUCAUACCAAGCAUUUCAAUCAUACACACAAUAUGCCCGAUAUGAGUACAUACAACAUGGCAUCACAAGAAAACUCUACAACUCAAAUACUUUAUUUAAAGGCUCCAGAGAGCCAUACAUAACAUGUUCAUACAGAUAGGGGUCACAUGACCCGACACUCAAGUCAUACAAUCAUACAAGCACAAGCGGAAGCAACUAGUCUGAGUACAGACACUAGAAAGAAAGAAGGCUUCUCGAAGCCUGUCUAUCUACAUAGGUCUCUCCAUGGCCAGGAUCACCACCUGGGUGGCUAGUCACUCGUCGACGUCAAGGUCUACGUAGAACCCAUCGGAGGGGCGGUGUUGUCAUCUGAAAACCGUAAUUAAGCAAACAUGAGUACAAAGGUACUCAGCAAGUCUUACAACAUAACCUACUAUAAAUGCUCAUUCUCAAGAAGGUGGUGGGGUUAUUGCAGCAAGCCAGCUUUGACUCUUGGCUAAGCUAUCCUACGGAACUCCACUAGUAAAAUAGUUUUCGCACACGAGUCCACUACUCACCAACAUAAUACUCCACCGGGGAUCCUCUCUCGUCAUCCUACGAGAGGGCCAUCCUCGGUACUCACACUUAUCUUGAGUCUUUUAGUAAUAACCAUUAACUUGUCUAUGAACUGUAUAGGCAACCAGGUAGUCCUUUACCGCGGACGCGGCUAUUCGAAUAGUUUUAUACCCUGCAGGGGUGUACUUCCUCAUACACGCUUUCACCACUUACCGCCGUUUACACGACAUGUACUCGGCAACCUUCAAGCCUUGGCCCAACGAGGGUGUCGGCCACGGCCUACCUAAACACUCAAAUCUCUAGUCCAGGUGCAUCGCCUAUCCAAGUUCCAUCCGCAGGGAGUCCGGCCGAGGUUUCCACAUACGGCCCCGAACGAUGUGAACAGGGUUCCCGAGACACCAAACAGGUGACUCGGUACACCGUGCCACGGUGUAUCUACCGCAACAUAGCCCACCCCUAGGGUCAGUGCUACGCACGGCCGCCAACACAUAACCUACAAACACCAGAAACUAUUUGCAACUCCUGGACAGAGUACUAGGGUAUUUAAGAAGCCGAGAGGGUCAAUUAAGGAUCCCAAUGCAUGGUAGUAGCUGAAUCUUAAAAUCACACAUACAGAUCUCAGUUCUUAGGGACGGCCUCAAUAAAACAACCCACCAUGUACUCCUACAUGGCCUCUCAUCGAUACCUUUACCAAAUCAUGUUCAUCACAUCCCUCACAUUACCGAUAUAACCAUUUCACUCUAGCCCAUCACCCAGAUGGACCAGACCUGACACAACUCUAAGCAUAGCAGGCAUAGCAAGGUAGGAAACACAUACCUGGCUCAAUCAACUCCUACACAUGCUAGUGGGUUUCAUCUAGUUACUGUGGCAAUGACAGGUCAUGCAGAGGAAAAGGGUUCAACUACCGUAGCACACAACAAUUUGAAUCGCGUUGUCUUAAUGCAGUAAACAAGAGCAGAAGCGAGAACAUGGGUUUGUAUCAGAAUGAUCAAUGGUUGUUUGCCUGUUGUAGUGGUAGUAGGGUACUGCCCUUCAGACGGAUACUCGGGGUUAUCCUCGGAGGCAGAACCUACCACGAAAGAUACACCGAACAUAAUCAACACAUGACAAUAUGCAACGGUAUGAUGCAUGCUAUGACAUGGCAAAAUGAAUGUGUCUUGGCCUAAUGCAAGCUGAAACAGGAUGGAAUGAACUCAUUUGAAUCAAAGAUUCAAAUGUUAGCUCAUUUAACAUGGCCUUAUUAGUGCAUUAUCUUAUUCUGCUUAAAUAGCAAGGUUAACUUGUUUUGUCAUGCAUGAAACCAUUACAGAUGGACAGAUUGAAUUUUUUUGAUCAUUUUUCAUAUAUAAAUCUUUGCAUUUGGAGCUAUGGUUGAUUUUCUAAGAUUUUUAGAAGUUUUGGCUAUUUACUGGAAUUUCCUAUUAAAGAAUAAAUCCAGUAAUUGAAUUAAUGCGUCAGCAUGACAUAGGUGUGAUGUCAGCGGGUCAACUGGGUUGGCCAGGUCAAACCUGACUGGCGGGCCCUGUCUGUCAGUGACUCAGCUAAUUAACAGAGUUAAAUUAACUCUAAUUAACUAAAAGUGGGGCCUGGGCCCACAUGUCAGUGACUGAACUAAUUAAAUUUAGUUAAAACAAAUCCUAAACUAAUCAGCAGGCCGGCCCCACCUGUCAUAGACUAACCUGGGCCCACACGGGGGUCAAACAGGGUAAACUCGCCGGCGUCUAGCCGCCGGCGAGGCCAGACGCGGCGGAGCAGUGCGGGAUUUGCACUCUGGCGACCAAAUGGGCGGCGGAGACUAUCUACGUGAUGCGGGGAGGAAGCCGCCUUUGGAAAUAUGCCCUAGAGGCAAUAAUAAAUUGAUUAUUACUAUAUUUCCUUGUUCAUGAUAAUCGUUUAUUAUCCAUGCUAGAAUUGUAUUGAUAGGAAACUCAGAUACAUGUGUGGAUACAUAGACAACACCAUGUCCCUAGUAAGCCUCUAGUUGACUAGCUCGUUGAUCAAUAGAUGGUUACAGUUUCCUGACCAUGGACAUUGGAUGUCAUUGAUAACGGGAUCACAUCAUUAGGAGAAUGAUGUGAUGGACAAGAACCAAUCCUAAGCCUAGCACAAGAUCAUGUAGUUCGUAUGCUAAAGCUUUUCUAAUGUCAAGUAUCAUUUCCUUAGACCAUGAGAUUGUGCAACUCCCGGAUACCGUGGGAGUGCUUUGAGUGUGCGAAACGUCACAACGUAACUGGGUGGCUAUAAAGGUACACUACAGGUAUCUCCAAAAGUGUCUAUUGGGUUGGCACGAAUCGAGACUGGGAUUUGUCACUCCGUGUAAACGGAGAGGUAUCUCUGGGCCCACUCGGUAGGACAUCAUCAUAAUGUGCACAAUGUGACCAAGGAGUUGAUCACGGGAUGAUGUGUUACGGAACGAGUAAAGAGACUUGCCGGUAACAAGAUUGAACAAGGUAUCGGCAUACCGACGAUCGAAUCUCGGGCAAGUAUCGUACCGAUGGACAAAGGGAAUUGCAUACGGGGUUGAUUAAGUCCUUGACAUCGUGGUUCAUCCGAUGAGAUCAUCGUGGAACAUGUGGGAGCCAACAUGGGUAUCCAGAUCCCGCUGUUGGUUAUUGAUCGGAGAGUCAUCUCGGUCAUGUCUGCAUGUCUCCUGAACCCGUAGGGUCUACACACUUAAGGUUCGAUGACGCUAGGGUUAUAAAGGAAGUUUGUAUGUGGUUACCGAAUGUUGUUCGGAGUCCCGGAUGAGAUCCCGAACGUCAUGAAGAGUUCCGGAAUGGUCCGGAGGUAAAGAUUUAUAUAUGGGAAGUCCUGUUUUGGUCACCGGAAAAGUUUCGGGUUUUAUCGGUAACGUACCGGGACCACCGGGAGGGUCCCGGGGGUCCACCAAGUGGGGCCACAAGCCCCGGAGGGCUGCAUGGGCCAAGUGUGGGAGGGGACCAGCCCCAGGUGGGCUGGUGCGGCCCCCCACCAAGGCCCAAGGCGCAAGGAAGAGGGGAAGGGGGCAAACCCUAGGGCAGAUGGGCCCUAAGGCCCACCCUGGUGCGCCUCCCCCUCUCCCCUCCCCUUGGCCGCCCCUAGAUGGGAUCUAGGGGGCUGCCGCCACCCCUAGGGAGGGAACCCUAGGUGGGGGCGCAACCCAUCCCCUCCCCCUAUAUAUAGUUGAGGUUUGGGCUGCCCAAUACACAUGAGUUCCUCUCUUUCUUGGCACAGCCCUAUCCCUCUCUUUCUCCUCAUAUCUCGCAGUGCUUGGUGAAGCCCUGCUGGAUCACCAUGCUCCGCCAUCACUACCACGCCGUUGUGCUGCUGUUGGAUGGAGUCUUCCUCAACCUCUCCCUCUCUCCUUGCUGGAUCAAGGCAUGGGAGACAUCGUCGGGCUGUACGUGUGUUGAACGCGGAGGUGCCGUCCGUUCGGCACUAGGAUCUCCGGUGAUUUGGAUCACAACGAGUACGACUCCUUCAACCCCGUUCUCUUGAACGCUUCCACUUAGCGAUCUACAAGGGUAUGUAGAUGCACUCUCCUUCCCCUCGUUGCUGGUUUCUCCAUAGAUAGAUCUUGGUGACACGUAGGAAACUUUUGAAUUUCUGCUACGUUCCCCAAUAGUGGCAUCAUGAGCUAGGUCUAUUGCGUAGAUUCUAUGCACGAGUAGAACACAAAGUAGUUGUGGGCGUUGAUUUUGUUCAAUAUGCUUACCGUUACUAGUCCAAUCUUGUUUCGACGGUAUUGUGGGAUGAAGCGGCCCGGACCGACCUUACACGUACUCUUACGUGAGACAGGUUCCACCGACUGACAUGCACUAGUUGCAUAAGGUGACUAGCGGGUGCCAGUCUCUCCCACUUUAGUCAGAACGGAUUCGAUGAAAAGGGUCGUUAUGAAGGGUAAAUAGCAAUUGGCAUAUCACGUUGUAUUUUUGCGUAGGUAAGAAACGUUCUUGCUAGAAACCCAUAGCAGCCACGUAAAACAUGCAAACAACAAUUAGAGGACGUCUAACUUGUUUUUGCAGGGUAUGCUAUGUGAUGUGAUAUGGCCAAGAAGAAUGUGAUGAAUGAUAUGUGAUGUAUGAGAUUGACCAUGUUCUUGUAAUAGGAAUCAUGACUUGCAUGUCGAUGAGUAUGACAACCGGCAGGAGCCAUAGGAGUUGUCUUUAUUUAUUGUAUGACCUACGUGUCAUUGAACAACGCCAUGUAAUUACUUUACUUUAUUGCUAACUGGUAGCCAUAGUGGUAGAAGUAAUAAGUUGGCGAGACAACUUCAUGGAGACACAAUGAUGGAGAUCAUGGUGUCAUGCCGGUGACGAUGAUGAUCAUGGAGCCCCGAAGAUGGAGAUCAAAAGGAGCAAUAUGAUAUUGGCCAUAUCAUGUCACUAUUUGAUUGCAUGUGAUGUUUAUAAUGUUUAUACAUCUUAUUUGCUUAGAAUGACGGUAGUAAAUAAGAUGAUCCCUCAUUAAAAUUUCAAGAAAGUGUUCCCCCUAACUGUGCACCGUUGCGAAAGUUCGUCCUUUUGAAGCACCACGUGAUGAUCGGGUGUGAUAGAUUCUUACGUUCGAAUACAACGGGUGUUGACGAGCCUAGCAUGUACAGACAUGGCCUCGGAACACAUGCAAAACACUUAGGUUGACUUGACGAGCCUAGCAUGUACAGACAUGGCCUCGGAACACAAGAGACCGAAAGGUCGAGCAUGAGUCGUAUGGUAGAUACGAUCAACAUGAAGAUGUUCACCGAUGUUGACUAGUCCGUCUCACGUGAUGAUCGGACACGGCCUAGUUGACUCGGAUCAUGUAAUCACUUAGAUGACUAGAGGGAUGUCUAUCUGAGUGGGAGUUCAUAAGAUGAACUUAAUUAUCCUGAACAUAGUCAAAAGGACUUUGCAAAUUAUGUCGUAGCUCACGCUAUAGUUCUACUGUUUAGAUAUGUUCCUAGAGAAAAUUUAGUUGAAAGUUGAUAGUAGCAAUUAUGCGGACUAGGUCCGUAAACUGAGGAUUGUCCUCAUUGCUUCAUAGAAGGUUUAUGUCCUUAAUGCACCGCUCAGUGUGCUGAACCUCGAACGUCGUCUGUGGAUGUUGCGAACAUCUGACAUACACAUUUUGAUAACUACGUGAUAGUUCAGUUAAACGGUUUAGAGUUGAGGCACCGAAGACGUUUUGAAACGUCACGAAACAUAUGAGAUGUUUCGAGGGCUGAAAUUGGGAUUUCAGGAUCGUGCCCACAUCAAGAGGUAUAAGACCUCCGACGAUUUUUCUUAGCCUGCAAACUAAGGGAGAAAAGCUCAACUGUUGAGCUUGUGCUCAGAUUGUCUGAGUACAACAAUCAUUUGAAUCGAGUGGGAGUUGAUCUUCCAGAUGAGAUAGUGAUGUUUCUCCGAAGUCAUUACCACCAAGCUGCUAGAGCUUCGUGAUGAACUAUAAUAUAUCAGGGACAUAUAUGAUGAUCCUUGAGAUAUUCGCGAUGUUUGACACCACAAAAGUAGAAAUCAAGAAGGAGCAUCAAUUGUUGAUGGUUGGUGAAACCACUAGUUUCAAGAAGGGCAAGGGCAAGAAGGGAUACUUCAUGAAAUGGCAAUUCAGCUGCUGCUCUAGUGAAGAAACCCAAGGUUGAACCCAAACCCGAGACUAAGUGCUUCUGUAAUAAGGGAAACAACCACUGGAGCAGAAUUACCCUAGAUACUUGGUAGAUGAGAAGGCUGGCAAAGUCGAUAGAAGUAUAUUGGAUAUACAUUGUGUUAAUGUGUACUUUACUAGUACUCCUAGUAGCACCAUGGUAUUAGAUACCGGUUCGGAUGCUAAAUGUUAGUAAACUCGAAAUAAAAGGCUGCAGAGUAAACGGAGACUAGCCAAAGGUGAGCUGGCAAAAUGUGUUGGAAGUUUUUCCAAGCUUGAUGUCAUCAAGCAUCGCACGCUCCCUCUACCAUCGAGAUCGGUGUUUGCGUUGAGCAUAGACAUGAUUGGAUUAUGUCUAUCGCAAUACGGUUAUUCAUUUAAGGAGAAUAAUGGUUACUCUGUUUAUUUGAAUAAUACCUUCAAUGGUCUUGCACCUAAAAUGAAUGGUUUAUUGAAUCUCGAUCGUAGUGAUACACAUGUUCAUGCCAGAAGAUAUAAGAUAGUAAUGAUAGUACCACCUACUUGUGGCACUGCCAUGUAAGUCAUAUCGGUAUAAAACGCAUGAAGAAGCUCCAUGUUGAUGGAUCUUUGGGCUCACUCGUUUUUGAAAAGUUUGAGACAUGCGAACCAUGUCUAUUGGUGUAUAUGCAUGAAGAAACUCCAUGCAAAUGGACCGUUUGGACUCACUCGAUUUUGAAUCACUUGAGACAUGCAAAUCAUACCACAUGGGCAAGAUGACUGAAAGCCUCGUUUUCAGUAAAAUGGAACUAGAAAGAAACUUGUUGGAAGUAAUACAUUUUGAUGUGUGCAGUCCAAUGAGUGCUGAGGCAUGUAGUGGAUUUCAUUAUGUUCUUACUUCACAGAUGAUUUGAGUAGAUACUGAGUAUAUUUACUUGAUGAAACAUAAGUCUGAAUUAUUGAAAGGUUCAAGUAAUUUCAGAGUGAAGUUGAACAUCGUCGUGACAAGAGGAUAAAAUGUCUAUGAUAUGAUCGUAGAGAUGAAUAUCUGAAUUACGAGUUUGGCACAAAAUUAAGACAUUAUGGAAAUUGUUUCACAACUAAUACAGUCUGGAACACCACAGUGUGAUGGUGUGUCCGAAUAUCAUAACUGCACCCUAUUGGAUAUGAUGCAUACCAUGAUGUCUCUUAUCAAAUUACCACGAUAGUUUAUGGGUUAGGCAUUAGAGACAACCACAUUCACUUUAAAUAGGGCACCACGUAAUUCCGAUGAGAUGACACCGUAUGAACUAUGGUUUAGAGAAACCUAAGCUGUCAUUUCUUAAAAGUUUGGGGCUGCGACGCUUAUGUGAAAAAGUUUUAGGCUGAUAAGCUCGAACCCAAAGCGGAUAAAUGCAUCUUCAUAGGACACCCAAAAUAGUUGGGUAUACCUCCUGUCUCAGAUCCGAAAGCAAUAAGGGAUUGUUUCUAGAAUCGAGUCCUUUCUCGAGGAAAGGUUUCUCUCGAAAGAAUUGAGUGUGAUGAUGGUGGAGAUUUGAUGAGGUUAUUGAACUGUCUCUUCAACUAGUGUGUGGCAGGGCACAGGGAGUUGUUCCUGUGGCACCUACACCAAUUGAAGUGGAAGCUUAUGAUAGUGAUCAUGAAACUUCAGAUCAAGUCACUACCAAACCUCGUGGGAUGACAAGGAUGCGUACUACUUCAGAGUGGUACGUAAUCCUAUCUUGGAAGUCAUGUUGCUAGACAACAAUGAACCUACAAGCUAUGGAGAAGCAAUGGUGGGCCUGGAUUCCAAAAUGGCUCGAAGCCAUAUAAUCCGAGAGAGGAUCCAUCUAUGAAAACAAAGUGUAGACUUUGGAAGAACUACUUGAUGGUCGUAAGGCUGUUAGGUACAUAGGGAUUUUAAAAGGAAGACGGACAAUGAUAGUAAGUAUCACCAUUAAGAAAGCUUGACUUGUCGUUAAGAUGUUUUCCGACAAGUUCAAGGAGUUGACUACGAUGAGACUUUCUCACUCGUAGCGAUGCUAAGAGUCUGUUGGAAUUAUAUUAGCGAUUACUGCAUUAUUUAUGAAAUCUUGCAGAUAGGAUAUCAAAACAUUGUUUCCUCGAUGUUUUUUUGAGGAAAGGUUGUAUGUGAUACAACCAGAAGGUUUUGUCAAUCCUGAAAGAUGCUAACAAGUAUGCAAAGCUCCAGCAAUCCUUCUAAGGACUGGAGUAAGCAUCUCGGAGUUGGAAUGUAUGCUUUGAUGAGAUGAUCAAAGUUUUGGGUGUAUACAAAGUUUAUGAGAAACUUGUAUUUCCAAAGAAGUGAGUGGGAGCACUAUAGAAUUUCUGAUGAGUAUAUGUUGUUAACAUAUUGUUGAUCGGAAAUGAUGUAGAAUUUCUGGAAAGCAUGCAGAGUUAUUUGAAAAGUGUUUUUCAAUGGAAAGCCUGGAUUAAGCUACUUGAACAUUGAGCAUGAAGAUCUAUAAGGAUAGAUCAAAACGCUUAAUGGUAAUUUCAAAUGAGCACAUACCUUGACAUGAUCUUGAAGGUGUUCAAGAUGGAUCAGUCAAAGAAGGAGUUCUUGCCUGAGUUGUAAGGUAUGAAGUUAAGACUUAAAGCUCGACCACGGAAGAAGAAAGAGGAAGGACGAAGGUCGUCCCCUAUGCUUUUGUCAUAGGCUCUCUACAGUAUGCUAUGUUGUGUGCCGCACUUGAAGUGUGCCUUGCCAUGAGUCAGUCAAGGGGUACAAGAGUGAUCCAAGAAUGGAUCACAAGACAACGGUCAAAGUUAUCCUUAGUAACUAGUGGACUAAGGAAUUUUCUCGAUUAUGGAGGUGGUAAAAGAGUUCGUCGUAAAGGGUUACGCCGAUGCAAACUUUGACACUAAUCUAGAUUAUUCUGAGUAGUAGACUGGAUUCGUAUAGUAGAACAGUUAUUUGGAAUAGCUCCAAAUAGAACGUGGUAGCUGCAUCUAGGAGAUGACAUAGAGAUUUGUAAAGCACACACGGAUCUGAAAGAUUCAGACCCGUUGACUAUAACAUCUCUCACAAGCAUAACAUGAUCAAACCCAGAACUCAUCGAGUGUUAAUCACAUGGUAAUGUGAACUAGAUUAUUGACUCUAGUAAACUCUUUGGGUGUUAGUCACAUGGGGAUGUGACCUUGAGUGUUUAUCACAUAUCGAUGUGAACUGGAUUAUUGACUCUAGUGCAAGUGGGAGACUGUUGGAAAUAUGCCCUAGAGGAAAUAAUAAAUUUAUUAUUAUUAUAUUUCCUUGUUCAUGAUAAUCGUUUAUUAUCCAUGCUAGAAUUGUAUUGAUAGGAAACUCAGAUACAUGUGUGGAUACAUAGACAACACCAUGUCCCUAGUAAGCCUCUAGUUGACUAGCUCGUUGAUCAAUAGAUGGUUACAGUUUCCUAACCAUGGACAUUGGAUGUCAUUGAUAACGGGAUCACAUCAUUAGGAGAAUGAUGUGAUGGACAAGACCCAAUCCUAAGCCUAGCACAAGAUCAUGUAGUUCGUAUGCUAAAGCUUUUCUAAUGUCAAGUAUCAUUUCCUUAGACCAUGAGAUUGUGCAACUCUCGGAUACCGUAGGAGUGCUUUGGGUGUGCCAAAUGUCACAACGUAACUGGGUGGCUAUGAAGGUACACUACAAGUAUCUCCAAAAGUGUCUGUUGGGUUGGCACGAAUCGAGACUGGGAUUUGUCACUCCGUGUAAACGGAGAGGUAUCUCUGGGCCCACUCGAUAGGACAUCAUCAUAAUGUGCACAAUGUGACCAAGGAGUUGAUCACGGGAUGAUGUGUUACGGAACGAGUAAAGAGACUUGCCGGUAACGAGAUUGAACAAGGUAUCGGCAUACCGACGAUCGAAUCUCGGGCAAGUAUCGUACCGAUGGACAAAGGGAAUUGCAUACGGGAUUAAUUAAGUCCUUGACAUCGUGGUUCAUCCGAUGAGAUCAUCGUGGAACAUGUGGGAGCCAACAUGGGUAUCCAGAUCCCGCUGUUGGUUAUUGACCGGAGAGUCAUCUCGGUCAUGUUUGCAUGUCUCCCGAACCCGUAGGGUCUACACACUUAAGGUUCGAUGACGCUAGGGUUAUAAAGGAAGUUUGUAUGUGGUUACCGAAUGUUGUUCGGAGUCCCGGAUGAGAUCCCGGACGUCAUGAGGAGUUCCGGAAUGGUCCGGAGGUAAAGAUUUAUAUAUAGGAAGUCCUGUUUUGGUCACCGGAAAAGUUUCGGGUUUUAUUGGUAACGUACCGGGACCACCGACAGGGUCCCGGGGGUCCACCAAGUGGGGCCACAAGCCCCGGAGGGCUGCAUGGGCCAAGUGUGGGAGGGGACCAGCCCCAGGUGGGCUGGUGCGCCCCCCCACCAAGGCCCAAGGCGCAAGGAAGAGGGGAAGGGGGCAAACCCUAGGGCAGAUGGGCCCUAAGGCCCACCCUAGUGCGCCUCCCCCUCUCCCCUCCCCUUGGCCGCCCCUAGAUGGGAUCUAGGGGGCUGCCGCCACCCCUAGGGAGGGAACCCUAGGUGGGGGCGCAGCCCCUCCCCUCCCCCUAUAUAUAGUUGAGGUUUGGGCUGCCCAAUACACAUGAGUUCCUCUCUUUCUUGGCGCAGCCCUAUCCCUCUCUUUCUCCUCAUAUCUCGUAGUGCUUGGCGAAGCCCUGCUGGAUCACCAUGCUCCUCCAUCACCACCACGCCAUUGUGCUACUGCUGGAUGGAGUCUUCCUCAACCUCUCCCUCUCUCCUUGCUGGAUCAAGGCAUGGGAGACGUCAUCGGGCUGUACGUGUGUUGAACGCGGAGGUGCCGUCCGUUCGGCACUAGGAUCUCCGGUGAUUUGGAUCACGAUGAGUACGACUCCUUCAACCCCGCACUACUAGGAAAAGGCCUACUAAUGGCGCACCAGUUUUGCCUACUAAUGGCGCAUCACUGGUGCGCCAUUACUAGCACGCCAUUAGUAAUUUUUACUAAUGGCGCACCACUGGUGCGCCAUUAGUAUCUGGUAUACUAAUGGCGCACCACUGGUGCGCCAUUAGUAUAGGCCACAGGUGCACCAUUAGUAUACCAGAUACUAAUGGCGCACCGCGUGGUGCGCCAUUAGUAUACCAUUCGGUGCUCCACUGGUAUUCCCUCCAGGUGCGCCACUAAUAACCUUAUAGGUGCGCCACUAGUAAUAAAGGAAGGUGCGCCACUAAUAAGGGCUUAAAUGCGCCACUACUAAUGUAUUUGGAAAACAAAAAAAAAUCUAAAUUUACAGAAAAAAACCUAUAAGGAAAAAUAAUUUAAAAACAAAAAAUGAAAUAGAAUCAUAAUUUUUAUUAUAGUAAGAAUAUUACAAUGUCUUUACAAGUUUCCAAUAAAAGGGAAAUUGCAAGGAAAUAAAAAAAAUCCUAAAGCUAAUCUUCUAGUAAUCUUCUCUUCUUUUUCUUCACUUUAUCCCUGCAAAAUGUAACAAAAUAAACACAAACACAAACAAACUAUUUAUAACAUGUCAAUACUGUCAUUUUUUCAGACCAAGUAACUAACAACUUCAGUGAGACAGGCACAGUGCAGUGUGAAUUUCAAUUGGCUAAAUCAUAUAUAGAAAUCAGUAUCUUCUCUAUGAACCUGAAACUGAGAUGACUGGACUAAUUUUGCACAUUUGAUUUAUGAAUUUAUUCUUCUUCGACAACCAACUAAACUUCGGAUCACCUACUAAGCAUCUGUACAUACUACAUAGGCUGAUUAAUCCAACAGCCACAAUGCAAAUAUUGACUAUUUCCAUUCAACUUCUUCACUUACUCAUUAUUAUCUAAUGAAACCAUUCGUAACUAAUGAAGCAGAUUGGCUAAAGUUAUUAUCAAGUCCUAAGUCCUAAUUGAAGCAGAUCUGCUAGGGUUCUUCUCGCUAGCCCCUCAUGGCCAACCGUUUCGGAACAGGCAGGCAGAGCUGCUUGGCCGGUGGCUAGGGAGUCGCUGGUGAUGUUGGGCAUCUCACACGAGCACCUGGCUAUUUGAGGAAACCGAAAUAGUAGCAUAAACAAGAUUGAUUCCGAGGAAAUGAUAGAACCUAUUCUAUCAAAGUGCUACUCCCCCCGUUCCAUAAUUCCAGUCGUGGUUUUUUAACUAAAACCAUGAAGAGAACUAUGGAAUGGAGGGAGUAGAAAACAAUAGCAUGCUUAAAAUUCUACCAUACACAGCAGCAACAGACAUUACACAAGCAUUUAUUUAUUUAUUGCAUUUGGCACAAGUUAAAAAUUCUCACAAGCAGAGGCGGUCCUAUCAGACAAAAAGAACAUGGACCGCUCAUUACAAAGCACUUCUACUGCAGUAUCAUGGAGUAGGAAAAGGGGCUUAAGCAGCAAAGAAGUAUAAUAAGAGAAAAAAACACUAUGGCGGCUGGAACUAGAAGAGCACCAUCACAGGUUCGAAACAUCACCAUGGAGUCGAUGGCCGGCAUAGCCCAUGGCAGGGCUGGAUGGGCAGCAUAAUAACACAAUAAAAGUUUGAUGUAUACUUAUUCGUUUGAAAAGAUGCAAGCUUAUUUACACCCUAGGACUGUUGAUUAGGGUCUGGAUGGUAUUUUUGUUCCUUGCGUAAGUAAGAGAAGGACUAGCAUCCAUAGUAGAAAGAAGGGUAAACAUACAUAAAGGAAAGUUUUUAUAGCGUCACGACCGAAAGAGGCUACGUGCGGCUGGGUGAAAUGGACAAGGUUUCAUGUAUGCAAUAUAUUAUAGAAAAAUAAGUGUUGACAGAAAAUGAAAGAUUUCCUGUCAAACAAACAGAGCUUCAUUUUGUAACAUUUCUGACCCACAUGAUAAUUGUACAACAUAGUAGAGGAGACCACUGUACAUACAUGUGUUGAAUGAAGCAGACUAAGAAAUAUUGGGUGGGUAUAAAGAAUACAAUAGUACGGUAGCUGAUGUAAACAAGUGCAGAGUUGCAUCCACAGAAUAGGUAACAAAUUAAAUAGCCCUGGUGCCAACAGUAGAGUUCGUGUAUCCAAUCCAUCCUUUGUUUAACACAGCAGCUCCAACUCUUGUGUAACAAAUUAAGUUUGGCAUGGGCACACAUAAAGCACUGACAUUUUCAUGGCUCGAUGGCCGUGGGCUAAGGGAGCAGAGGAGGAGGUGCGGCUCACCUCACAUGGCGGCGGAACCGAGGGAUGAAGGUGCGGCGCACCGGAGCAGGCAGAGGUGCCUUGUGUUGGCCAAACACGUGGCCAGCAGCAGAGAAGCGCUUCUCUUGCUCGACGGAUGUUGGGUGUGUGUGAGGCGUGCUCCUGCCUGCCUGCCUGCGUGAGGAACGGGAGGACCAUUAGAGAAGAGAAGGGAAGGGAAGAAGAGCAGGUAGAGGAUGGCAAGGGGAGAGGAGGGAAUCAAAAUCAAAGAUGAGAAGAUGACCUUGAGGAGGAGCAGGGGAAGAGCGGAGCAGCAGAAACAGAGGCCUUCCUCUCCCGGUGGUGAGGACCGAGGCGACCUCCGUCACGGCCUAGCCAGGUCGACGACUCUGGCGACCGUGGCUGCCAGAUCCGGUGUCACCAUGGCCGGCCUCCUCCUGUGGUGCCUGCUAGGUCGCCAUGGCCGCGGGCUCCUUGUCCGUGGCGGCUGGAUCUGGGGCCUUGGGGUGGCGGGGAGCUCCUCCUCCUGCAGCUCGGCGGCCUCCACACCCCGGAGCAACGCCGUCGCCGGAGGACGUGGUCACCUGCUCUCCUCUGGAUCCGGUGAGGAGGGUUGGGGAAGGAGCUCACCACGGCUCCAUGCCCUGGAUCUGGUGUGAGGGAGGGGGAAGGGAGCUCGCCGUGGUCAGGAGGGAGAGGAAGAGGCGGGCGGCCGGGGCUUCCCGAUCUAAAUCAAAGUCGAGGGAGGUGGGUGGGUGUGUCAGGAGGAAGGUGAGGGGGAGAGAACGUGACAAGAUGGAGGGGAUAAGGGGUGAUAGCAAUGGCGCACUGGUAGGGGUGCGCCAUACGUAUAGAUAGCAAUGGCGCAUCUCUUACUGGUGCGCCAUUACUAGUUUAAACUAGUAAUGGUGCACGGUGGAACAGUGCGCUAUUAGUAGUUUUGCAAAAAAAAGUAAUAAAAAUAUAAUAAAAAAACAACAUUAGUGGCGCACUUUUCGACAGGUGCGCCAUUACUAGUUACAACUAGUAAUGGCGCACUGUGUCUGGAUGCGCCAUUAGUAUGUUUGGACAGGCGCACUAGUUCAAAAAAAAUUGAUACUAAUGGCGCACCCUGGGCCAGGUGCGCCAUUAGUAGUUUCAACUCUAAUGGCGUAUCAGAAGGUGGUGCGCCAUUAGUAUAUACCCUUGUAGAGGACUUAGGACUUGAUAAUAACUUUAGCCAAUCUGCUUCAUUAGUUACGAAUGGUUUCAUUAGAUAAUAAUGAGUAAGUGAAGAAGUUGAAUGGAAAUAGUCAAUAUUUGCAUUGUGGCUGUUGGAUUAAUCAGCCUAUGUAGUAUGUACAGAUGCUUAGAAGGUGAUCCGAAGUUGGAGAGGUCGGGGAUGAGCUGAUGCGGCGGGGGUGGUGAAGGGGAUCUCUGGUGGCCGGAGUUGAGGACGAGCUCGGUGCAGCGUCUCCGAGGCGAGCAAGCGCUCGGGCGCGGCCUACUCGAUGUAGUCGAUGGCGGCGGAGCUCGUGGACACGAUGGCGCGGCGCGAGGACGACGGAAGGCACGGCUACGACGACGGUGCGGCGACAGAAGUGUCGGCCAUGGUGGGGAACGGCGAAGGGAUAGAGACAGGGGGGAAAUGGCGUGUCCAGGGGCUUCGGGGUGCGACGUGGAGGCGUCCAGGCGUCUAGGGGCGCGGGCGGCAAGCAGGUGACGCCGUGGUGAGCUCGGGCACGCCGGAGUCACCUCCCUGCCUGCGUGGCGGGGAAGAAGCAGCUGGCUGGCGCGAGCCAGCACAGUGCUGGGCCGCCUGGUGGGCCGGCGGGUGAGAUAGCUGGGCCGCGCCAGGUAAGCUUCUCUCUCUCUCUCUCUUUCUUAUUUGUUUUCUUUUUCUAUUUUUCUGCAACUGUUGGGCUUUAUUAAAAAUACCUAGACAUCUUUAAAAAUCCUGAAAAUAAUCAGGGGCUCUGUUUAGAUUAUUCCCAACAGCCCACACUUAUUUCUAGAAUUAUUUGAGCAUUUAAAUUAUUUUAUAGCAUUUAAAUGCCCAAAUUCAAAUACUUAUGAUUUAAUUCAAGAAAAUCCAGAAUGUCCUAGAAAAGAGUGCACCAUUUUUGCCAGGGGUUUUAGCCCAAUCCAGAAAUGAUGAACAUUUUGUGAAAGGCAUUUUGGGUUCAUUGAAAAUAAUUUUAGUAAACCCUAGUUGUUUCCAGGGGGUGCUGGGGGUUCUGUCAUCCCCAUUUCAAAUUUAAAAGGAAUUUAAACAUGAUGCACACUCUAAUGCUUGAACUAGCUAGGGUGUGACACUAAGCAACCCGGCAACGACAUAGAUGUGUACCUAAGGCCAUUAGUUGAAGAACUCUUACAACUGUGGAAUGGAACAGGUGUACGUGCGUGGGAUGAGCACAUGGGGAAAGAAUUUGACCUAAAGGCGUUGUUGUUCGUGACCAUCAAUGAUUGGCCUGCUCUCACUAACCUUUUAGGACAGACAAACAAGGGAUACCGCGCAUGCACGCACUGUUUGGACGAUGCCGACAGUAUAUAUUUGGCUAAAUGUAAGAAGAAUGUGUACCUGGGACAUCAUCGAUUUCUUCCGAGCAGGCAUCCCGUAAGAAAGAAAGGCAAGCAUUUCAAAGGUGAGGCGGAUCACCGGACGAAGCCUCGCCACCGUACUGGUGCUGAUGUACAUGAUAUGGUCAACGAUUUGAAGGUGGUCUUUGGAAAGGGUCCUGGUGGACAACCUAUUCCGAAUGACGCUGACGGACGCGCACCCAUGUGGAAGAAGAAAUCUAUAUUUUGGGACCUGCCCUAUUGGAAAGACCUAGAGGUCCGCUCCGCAAUCGACGUGAUGCACGUGACGAAAAUCUUUGUGUGACCCUGCUUGGCUUCUUGGGCGUGUAUGGGAAGACAAAAGAUACACCUGAGGCACGGGAGGACCAACAAUGUAUGCACGGAAAAGAUGGCAUACAUCAGGGUCAUGCAAGCUACGCUCUUACCAAAGAAGAGAAGGAAAUCUUCUUUGAAUGCCUGCUCAGUAUUAAGGUACCGUCUGGCUUCUCGUCUAAUAUAAAGGGAAUAAUAAACAUGGCAGACAAAAGUUCCAGAACCUAAAGUCUCAUGACUGCCACGUGAUUAUGGCGCAACUGCUUCCGGUUGCAUUGAGGGGGCUUCUACCAGAAAACGUUCGAUUAGCCAUUGUGAAGCUAUGUGCAUUUCUCAAUGCAAUCUCUCAGAAGGUAAUCGAUCCAGAAAUAAUACCAAGGUUAGAGAAUUAUUUGGUGCAAUGUCUUGUCAGUUUCGAGUUGGUGUUCCCACCAUCCUUCUUCAACAUCAUGACGCACGUCCUAGUUCACCUAUGCGAAGAGAUUAACGUUUUGGGUCAUGUAUUUCUACACAAUAUGUUCCCCUUUGAGAGGUUCAUGGGAGUCUUAAAGAAAUAUGUUCAUAACCGUGCUAGGCCAGAAGGAAGCAUCUCCAAGGCCAUGAAAAUGAGGAGGUCAUUGAGUUUUGUAUUGACUUUAUUCCUGACCUUAAGCCGAUUGGUGUUCCUGAAUCGCGGCAUAAGGGCAGACUGGAUGGAAAAGGCACGCUAGGAGGGGAACAAAUAAUAUGUAUGUACGGACAUUCUCUCACUGAAGCACACUACACAGUUCUACAGAAUUCCGCCUUGGUGGCUCCAUAUAUGGAUGAACACAAGAAUUUGCUACGCUCCAAACACCCGGAGCGGUCUGAUGACUGGAUUACACGUGAACAAACCAGAAGUUUCGCCAGCUGGUUGCAGACACGUACCAUGCAUGACACCUCUAUUGAAGAUGACCUGUACUUGCUGUCCCAGUUACCAUCUUCGAAUAUAAUGACUUUCAAAGGGUACCAGAUAAAUGGUAAUACAUUUUACACGAUCGCCCAAGAUAAGAAGAGCACCAACCAAAACAGUGGUGUCUACUUUGAUGCAGAAACCAAGACGGGAAAGGAAACAUAUUAUGGUUAUAUACCGGACAUAUGGGAACUUGACUAUCGACGUGGUUUAAAGGUCCCUUUGUUUCGGUGCAAAUGGGUCAAUAUGACACGAGGCGGGGUAACGGAAGACCCGCAGUACGGAAUGACAACAGUGGAUCUCAACAAUCUUGCGUAUGCAGACGAACCAUUCGUCCUAGCCAAUGAUGUGGCACAGGUUUUCUAUGUGAAGGACAUGUCUACCAAGCCAAGAAAAAGAAAAGAUAAGGAAGCGAAUGCAUCGUACGAUGAGCCAAAGCGGCACAUAGUUCUUUCUAGGAAGAGAAACAUCGUGGGAGUGGAUGACAAGACAGACAUGUCAGAAGAUUAUGAAAAGUUUGAUGAAAUUGCUCCAUUCACAGUGAAUAUUGACCCGAGCAUCCCGUUAAAUGAUGAAGAUUUUCCAUGGUUACGGCGCAAAGGGACGCACGCGAAGAAAAAGUUUCACACCCAAAGAUCUGGGAUGUGAUCGGCUUCACUAUCAUCACUUUCUUCUGUGUUUCACACCCAGGAGGGAAUCUCUGUAAUAGUUAGGGUAGUUAUGUGUUUUGGCAUUUGAAACGCGAAGAAAUUUUAUGUGCAAACAAAUUCUUUCAUGCCUUUACUGAUUUUUAAAGUUAAGUUAUUCACAAACUAGUGAUUCACACUAAUUUCAAAUAAUUCAAAAUUUAAACUAUUCAAAUUUGAAAACUACAGGCACUAACAGAAAGUUUGUAAUUUUUUGUACCUAAAGCAAAAAUUGAAGGAAAUAUGCCCUAGAGGCAAUAAUAAAGUUAUUAUUUAUUUCCUUAUAUCAUGAUAAAUGUUUAUUAUUCAUGCUAGAAUUGUAUUAACCGGAAACAUAAUACAUGUGUGAAUACAUAGACAAACAGAGUGUCACUAGUAUGCCUCUACUUGACUAGCUCGUUAAUCAAAGAUGGUUAUGUUUCCUAACCAUGGACAAAGAGUUGUUAUUUGAUUAACGGGAUCACAUCAUUAGGUGAAUGAUCUGAUUGACAUGACCCAUUCCAUUAGCUUAGCACCCGAUCGUUUAGUAUGUUGCUAUUGCUUUCUUCAUGACUUAUACAUGUUCCUAUGACUAUGAGAUUAUGCAACUCCCGUUUGCCGGAGGAACACUUUGUGUGCUACCAAACGUCACAACAUAACUGGGUGAUUAUAAAGGUGCUCUACAGGUGUCUCCAAAGGUACAUGUUGGGUUGGCGUAUUUCGAGAUUAGGAUUUGUCACUCCGAUCGUCGGAGAGGUAUCUCUGGGCCCUCUAAUGCACAUCACUUAAGCCUUGCAAGCAUUGCAGCUAAUGAGUUAGUUGCGGGAUGAUGUAUUACGGAACGAGUAAAGAGACUUGCCGGUAAUGAGAUUGAACUAGGUAUUGGAUACCGACGAUCGAAUCUCGGGCAAGUAACAUACCGAUGACAAAGGGAACAACGUAUGUUGUUAUGCGGUCUGACCGAUAAAAGAUCUUCGUAGAAUAUGUAGGAACCAAUAUGGGCAUCAAGGUCCCGCUAUUGGUUAUUGACCGGAGACGUGUCUCGGUCAUGUCUACAUUGUUCUCGAACCCGUAGGGUCCGCACGCUUAAGGUUUCGAUGACAGUUAUAUUAUGAGUUUAUGAGUUUUGAUGUACCAAAGGAGUUCGGAGUCCCGGCUGAGAUUGGGGACAUGACGAGGAGUCUCGAAAUGGUCGAGACGUAAAAAUCGAUAUAUUGGACGACUAUAUUCGGACAUCGGAAAGGUUCCGAGUGAUUCGAGUAUUUUUCGGAGUACCGGAGAGUUACGGGAAUUCGCCGGGAGAAGUAUUGGGCCUUAUUGGGCCAUACGGGAAAGAGAGAGGGGCUGCCUAGGGUAGGCCGCGCGCCCCCCAAGGCCUAGUCCGAAUUGGACUAGGGGGAGGGGCUGCGCCCCUUCCUUGUUUCCUACUCCUACUACAUGGAAGGACUCCUACUUGGACUAGGAAAGGGGGAAUCCUACUCCCGGUGAGAGUAGGACUUCUCUAGGCGCGCCAUAGAGAGGGCCGGCCCUCCCCUCCUGCACUCCUUGAUAUACGGGGGCAGGGGGCACCCCAUAGACACACAAGUUGAUCCACGUGAUCAUAUUCUUAGCCGUGUGCGGUGCCCCCUUCCACUAUAGUCCUCGAUAAUAUUGUAGCAGUGCUUAGGCGAAGCCCUGCGACAGUAGUACAUCAAGAUCGUCACCACGCCGUCGUGCUGACGGAACUCUUGCCCGACACUUUGCUGGAUCGGAGUCCGGGGAUCGUCAUCGAGCUGAACGUGUGCUAGAACUCGGAGGUGCCGUAGUUUCAGUGCUUGAUCGUCGGGCCGUGAAGACGUACGACUACAUCAACCGCGUUGUCAUAACGCUUUUGCUAUCGGUCUACAAGGGUACGUAGAUCACACUCUCCCCUCUCGUUGCUAUGCAUCACCAUGAUCUUGCGUGUGCGUAGGAAAUUUUUUGAAAUUACUACGUUCCCCAACA
rnacentral:lncRNA from 1 species